rnacentral:lncRNA from 1 species
GGGAGGUGAAGGUCAAACAUUUUUCUCCUCACUUUUGAGGGUCUAGACUCCAGUCCCUCAGCAUCUUUUGAACUACUCCCAUUUGGUGAUGGAAACAGACCAGCUUGCUUAUUGAUUCCUUUGUUAGAAGCCAAAGGAGAAUGAGUGGCCUCAACACCUGAAAAAGAUGGUCCAACUCCAGCACAAGCAGAACUUCCUGUUACUGGAAAGCUAGGAAAGUGCCACUUUUUAGCAUCUUCAGAUGUUAUUUGAGUUGGUAAAGGACGUGGGGAAAAUGAUGUCCCAACCGAUCUAUGGUUCCUAUGUAACUCUUUCAUUUUUACCUCGUCCAUCAAAUCUCUUUGUAUUCUGUAUAAACGAUGAAGUUCAAACACCUGAUUGAUAAUGCAUAACUUAAAUAUAUCAAUAGUUUCACCAAUCAUAGGGUACAUAAAAAUUAAGCCAAACUAUAUCACCAUUGAACCAUGUUAAAAGAAAAUCCUACAUCUAAAACUGAUUAAAGUCAAUAUAGAACCAAACUAGUGUUGGUAUCUCACUGUUAAAGUACUUAGCAACCACUGCAGCAAUUGAAAAUUUCCAUAUUUUGAGAGAAACAGCUCUGACGAAGGAGAAAAAAAUUAAAACAAUUACUAAAAAUAUUUAACCUUUAAUCACCCCAAAACUUUCCAUGGGCAUAUUAUUUAACCUACUGGACAAGAAUAAAAAUAAACUAGGACUUCAUACCUGAUUCUUAAAUAUGGCCUCAUGCUCAAGCAUCAUCUGCUUCACAACAUCCUUAUCAUAUGCUGAACAUACAUCUGCAGCAGCACUUGGAAGAUGGUUAUGAUAAUAUUGGCCAUUUGCCAGUGCUUUGUCUCCGUAAAAUAGGGGCCAACCACAACUACUGGAUUCCUCAUUAAGAUCUCUCAUUGAGUAGUAUCCUGGAAGACUUUGAACUUUGGUUCCCAUCCCUGAUAAUUGAACACAUAUAUUUAAAUAAGUUAUUUUUAUCACAAAUAAGUGAUAUAUAGCUUCUCUCUUGUUCCAAUAAUAUCACAAUCCAUGCAGUAUCUUAAUUUAUUUCAUACUAACUCAUGUCAUGAAGAAGGUAUCUAAUUAUGUUAACAUUCCAAAUGCGGUAUGGCAUCAAAUACCACAAACUCAAUCCAUGAAAAGUAGCCAAAUAAUUGAAUGACUCGAAACCAGAUUUGAUGAUGUGAAUCAUAUCCAAAUAGUUACACAAACAACGUCACAUAUACAGUGCUAGCAAAGAUAGUUUCCUAUCCAGAAAUUUAAAGUUUUUACCCAUAAUUCAUCUGUUAAAUAUACAUGAAUGAUUAAGAAAACUUCUCACUAGAAAAAAGAAAGGAAAAAAAAAUAUGUAUGAACUAAUCAGAUUUCCACAUUUUUCAAGUACAUUGACCUACAAGUAUAAUGAAUGAAAUUAAAUCUUAACACAAAAUCUUCAUUACUCUGGUACAGUUAAAGAGUAUUCAAGUAAACUAGUAAAUUAAUUUUUUUCAUGAACGGAUUAACAUUUUAGCAGUCCAUUUCAUUAAAAAAAGUAACUCCCUCCGAUCUCGAAUAUAAGCCAAAAAGUACUCAUAUUUUUUGGUAUUAAAUAUAAGCAAAUAUAACUUACUUUCGUUCUAUUUAAUGAUGUCAAUCCUACAAUACUCUUAAAUUAAUAUAAAUCCUCCCCGCCCCUCCAAAAUCCUCCACCCAAACAUAACCUAGUCUCUCCAGCUCUUGACCCUUCGCUAUCUCUCCCAAGCUGAUUAGAUAUUAAAAUCCUUUCGCAAAAAGUAUUUCCUUUUUCACUCUCUCAUGCUUGUUCCCUCUUUUGCAAAAUUGCAAUAACAUUUCUCUUUUUAUUUCAAGAGAUGUUAAGUUGAAAUUUCAGCUGAUCACACAUAGUUUCAUGAAGCAAUUCACAAGUACAAUGCCACUUUACUUGAAGCCUCUAUAUGCAUGACAAUAGAGACCUUGAACCCAAGUUAGGUAUUGCGGAGUACAGCAAGAAUCUGGUGGCUAUUCCUUCCAACACUAUGAAUCAUCUUUAAUUUCAAAAGAAAAUCUGGACUACCUCAAUAAAUGCAGGAAAGCAAUAGAAUGUAUUUAUGAACAAUUUAAUUAGAAACAAGAAUUUCCAUGUGAGCUUUCUAAAACAUGUGCAAAUAGGUAUCUGCUGCUAAGUUAAACCCAAUUCACCGUAUCAGAACAAGCAACUAGAUUUAGAUCAGAUAAGGUUAUUUCACCAGAGAAUAAAAAAGGUGAAAGUAUUUACUGAAAUCCUGAGCUAGAAAGAGUAUGUAAGUAAAAGUCAACAUGCAUGGAGAAAAAGAAAGAGUUCGUUACGACACCAAGCUCUUGAUAUCCUUAAACUAAGGGACUCUUAAAAGCAGGUAGAAAACAGUGGUUGGCUGUUUAAAUAUUCAUUGCACAAUGUAGCUCUUAACAGUUAUCAACCUAUCAUAUAUGUUAGCCUUAAAUCCAUAACUAUGUUAUCUACUGAUGAAAAUCAACAACUCCUACAUUUAGAAGUAUGGGUGAAAUAUUACAAAAAAGAUGUUGAAGUGUUUAAUAGAAGCAGGACACUAUACAUACUGCUUCAGACAACCAAUAAGAUGUAAACACAACCCUAAAUUAGCCAAACUUUGGGGUUGCAGAAAAGUAAGCAAUGUAACAAACAUUCUUGAAAUAGGGCUUCAGGUCACAAAAAAUACACACAUUUGUUAAUGUUGACCCACGAGUGAAAUUUGACAUGAUUAAAGUUGCGAGAAGGCGAUCAGGUUAAUUAAAAAUGAGAAACUAACAAUUAAUUCCAAUAUAACUUGGUUGAGGACCAGUUACCUGGAAAAAACUGCUUAAGAUAUAAUAAGUUAACACUAAUGCACUUAUAAAAACGGCCUCAUGAUACGCCAACUUGAUGAAAAUACUUCUUCAAUCCAAUAUUGGACAAAAGAAACUAUAGCAAUCAGCAUAUUCCAAUGUUUUUUGUCGAUAUUUCUGACCAAAACUAUCAGCAGUCAGUUCUAACAGUUGAACAAUCAGUACGAGUAAGAAAAUCCUGUCAACUAAUCAAGAAAACUAGCCACUCAUGUUUUGGCUUAGUUGCCAAUAAGUAUUUUGAUGGAGGACAAGGAUUGUGAGAAUACAUUUGAAUCCAACUUAUAACACCACGGGGUAGAACCCACAUUUAAAAGACAAGUUUCAAUUGUAUUAAAACUGAUUCAUUCUCCACCAAUUAAUCUCGUGCUGAGAAAUUUCAAAAUCUCAGUGAAAUAAUGACGGUUUUCACUUUUCAACUUUAAUAGCUACACGUAGGCUCAUCAUUGUAAAAAAAAUCUAUGGAAAAGUGAAGCAACUUGAACCUAGACAUCCCAAUUUCAUCCUUGACAUCAAGGAACUAUGGUCCUUUACUCCAAGUUUGAGCAAAGAGAAUGAAUGAAAAAAUAAAGUAACAGAAAAUCUUAAUUGUAUUCACACUGAACCAUGCAUAUUAUCCCUUAAUUCAGUUACAACUUCACAACAAUUUUUCAAUCUUUCUUAAAUAAUAUAGAUUAAAAGCACCACCCACAAAAAAAAAAAAAUUAGAGAGAGAAAACCUAAAUGAAUAACAAAAUUGAAUUGAGCAGAUCCUAUACAACAACUAUCAAACCAACGGAUAUUUAUUGUCGAUUAAAAAGAAGAAUUCAAAACACUAAAAUCCAACAUCUGAACAUUUUCAGCUAAUCAAACAGAGGAAAAAGAAAGAAAAAAAAAUGAAUGUUAACAAAUUCAGUGGAAUAAGCUUCUAAGCAAUAGGAACCGAGAAUUUCAUUUCCACGGCACUCAAAACUGAACUAGUUAGAAAAAUAAAUAAAUAAAACAAAAUUUGAUGAGAUCAUUAAGUAAAAUUAAACAUAGAAUUCAGAAAAUAUUGUAAAAUUACCUCAAAGCCACAUCCUCAUAUCACUUGCUAUAAAGAAUCCGCCAUGGAUUCUUCUACCAUUGAAAAACAAUAGAAAAAUUAAGUGUUUUGACUCUAACUAUAAUAAGAAGCAAAAAAGAAAAAGGGUAAACUAAAAGCAAGAAUUAAGAAAGUGGAUGUUGUAGUAACAACAUUGAAGGAGCUUAGAUCGUCGAUUUCGAUCUUGUUCUCCUCUUUCUCUCUCUCUCUCUCUCGUAGACACAUACAAAAUGAAGAAAGAAAAAUAAACGAAGGUUUUUUGUUUGUAGAGAGAGAAAGAAAAAAAAAGAAUUAGUGAAGAGAGAGAUCCCAGAUAAGAAAUCUCCUCACAAACAAACGACCUUCUAAGAACAGUGACAUGAAAUUUGUCAACAUCCGGUCUCUUUAUAUUCUCUGCUUUUUCUUCACUUCUCUCUCUCUUUUAUUUUUCCAAUUUUAUAAACUAAUUAAUAUUAUUAAUGUAUUUAUUUAAGCAUUUCUGUUCUUGAGGAUAUCAAAACAAAUGCCCAUUUCUAGAUUCUCUCCACUUUCCUUGUUUUUUGGCUCACGUUAUAUCAAAUCAAAAUAUUACUAUUUCUACUCAAAAUUGAAAAUUCACACCAUGUAGUCCUUUUAAUUUUACAUCCAUACCAUUUAUAUUAUUUUAUAUUGUACUAGUAUUUUUUUAAUCAUAUAGUAUUGUACUUUUGUCUAAAGAAAUCACAGGAGUAGUAUUGUAGUAGUACUAUCAUUUGAUUCAUUUCCGCCAGAAAAAGAGCAUCUGUUAAUGUUAGCAUUUAUUAACUUUUUUAGUAAUUGUUGUUAUUUAAUAUUUAAAAUGGUAGCAAUAUGGGGUAACUAAAAGUGUAAAAUGUGAAAAGGGUAAUAAUUUUGUGAAUAUGUGUGUGAAUUACUCCAACAGCAAUGGGCGCAACAAACUUGACAAAAUAUACAAUCUUUUCGAAGCUACUAGUUGUUAGGACUAUAUUAAUAGUAAUUAAUUGGUGUAAUGUUAUUGCAUUUAAGAAAAUUGCCAUAUUAAGUACGUGUUUAAGUUGUAAUUGGCUGUUACAAGAGGCAGAGAAAGUAAGUGGGACCCUACAAACUAUGGGAAAGAUGAGAUUUUUUUUUAAAAAGGGUUGGUUAAUGAUGCAAUGGAAAAUAUGGUAUUGAAAAUACCCUUGUGGGAACAAUAUAUUUACGAGAAUGGGUUUAAUUUGUGCUCUCUCUCUCUGUCUUGUUAUUUGGUUGGGUUUUGUUUCAUUUUCGACUCUUCCCUUAUUUGAUUGGUGAAAGGAUCCUCUGCCUCAGUCUAUUCUUCUUCUGGGUGUACUUUCUAUCACCGUAGUGUCUUAUCUCCUCUUUCAAAAGAAAAAUAUAUUAUCAAGUAUAAUUACGAAUAAUAGUUAAUAAUGUAAAAAUAAGGAAAAGAGAGAAAAAUAAAGAUUAUAAUGCCACCAUACACAUGGCUGUUUUUAAUGCCUCCAUAUUAAAUUUCUUGAAUUCUAGUCCAACUUUAAAUGGCAUUUUGUAUUAUUAAUUAUUUAUUUACCAAAAUGAUCUUUAUUUUAAUUAAAAUUGUUCACAUCUAAAUAAAUUCAAAUAAAAAUAGAAAAUAAUCUAAAAUUUUGAAAAUUGUAUCAAAAUUAUUUUUAUCAAAUGUCUUUAGAUUUUGUGAAAACAACUUGGACUAUAUUAGAUUUUGCAUUCAUUUUUUGAAAUUAAAUUAAACUGAACUCGGUUGCAUAUAUAAAAUUUUGCUUUUAAUUAUUUUAUUAUAAGUAUUAAAUGUUACAUUAAUCUUUUUUUUUUGUAUUUUAAUACUUAUUAGUUAAAUAUAAUAUAAUAUUUUACUAUUUCAUUUGUUAUGGAUGUAAUUAAUAUUUAUUACUUCUUAAUGUUAAUUUUAAGUGUGUUAUAUGUUAUAUAUUUUGAUUUUAUUUAGUUCGUAAGAUUUUAUUUGACAUAAUAUAAGAUAUAAACUUCUAAUUUCAUGGUAGAAAUGAUAUUUAUUUUUUAAGGAAAGUACAGAGAAAUUAUUAAUAAACUUUUUGGUUUAAUGAUGAAUUUCUUUUGGAUAAUAUUUACUAUUAUAAUUUAAUAGUAUUAUUAAUAUUCUUAAUUUAUUCAAUGAAUUUAAGACACAUAAUAAGAAACCAUCUCAUUACCAAAAAUAACUCUAGUGGUAGCGCCAAAAGGUCAGAUCUUUCCUCUUCUUCCUCUUUUGUACACAGUUACAAAGAAAAUAUUUUUUUGAAUUAUUCCUUCAAAUAGUUUUUUUUUUCAGUUUAUUUAAAUAAGUUGUUAUCUUAAUUUUUUUUUCUUUCAAUUUUCUGUGAUUUUUUUAUUUGAAUGUGUAUUGUUUAGUUUAUCAUCAUUUUGACUUUUUUAUUUUUACAUUUUGGUACCGUAUUCAUUUAUUUAAGAUUUAUAAAUUAAUUUUGAUCGAUUAUAAAAUUUAAUUAAUGAUUUUGUCAUCGUUAAAAUUACAGAUUAAGAAGUAUUAGUUUUUUGGACAUUUAAGUUUUAUCAUAUUUAUAUACAUGCUAUUGUUUUGUGCUAUUAAUUUGAGUAUUGUAAAUUUAUUCAUGUAUUUUUUUUUAUAACAAAUUUAUAUUAUAUCGAUGUAUUCUCUAAAUUUGAUUAAAAUUUUUUUAUUAAAAAAAAUGAAACCAUCUUGUUGUAAAAAAAAAUCAUCUCGAUCAUGCACAAAAUUACAUCUCAAGUACCGUGUUUAAUUGUAAUUUAUUGCAUCUUAGCAAAAACAAAUGUACUUUAGUUUUAUUGGAUCAAAUUCGAAUCUCCAGUUUAAUGGAAAAGGGACGAGGGGAAUAUAACUAUAAAGGAUGCAUAUUUAUACUUAAAAUGAAAAUAUGUCAUGCACUGUUGCGUAAAUUAAUUUAUAUUGAUGGUAAAUAAGAAUAAUUAAUUUCAUUAUUUUUGUUAUUCUAUUAUAUAAUUAUCACAAUUAAAAAGUUACUUAAUCAACUAAUUAAGAUUAAUGACAUUAUAAAAAAAUUUAAACUGAUAUUAUAUGGGCAUCAAUCUCAUACUUUGACUAGGAAAACGAUGAUUACUAUGAAUAAUGACAACAUUGUCUUUAGAGCACAUGUUACUAUAUUAAAGAUAUAAAUUUUAUAUUUAAAAUUGUGCAUUCUAUUUUUUCAAGAUAUAAAUGUUAUUGGUGGAAUCCUUAAUUAGCAUGACCCAUUAUUUAUAAGUAUUUUUGUAAGAUACAUAAUUUUUUUAAUUAUUUAAAACAAAAAUACUAAAAAAAUUAAAUGCAUUUUUAGUACUUAUAUAAUCAUAAUGUUAAUCUGAUAGAAAUUAAGAAUGAUAAAAUAGAUAAACUCAUUUCAUUUCAUCUCAUCUCAUCGUAAUAACAUGAAUAUAUAAUAUAUUGAAUUAUCAAUUUGAAUUUGAAAUAUCUUUUUUCUUCAAAUUUAAUACGUGUAAUCUCCUUCACUGAACUCUUUAGAAAAAUAUUCACGAAUUUUUAAGGUUUAUUUUCUAAACAAUUUUAAUCACUUUAACCCUAUUUAAAAAACUUGAUUCUUAUGAUGUUUCAUAAAAGUACAUAUAAAUAACAAAAUAAAAAUUAAAUGUGAUUAAAAUUCAUUCAUUUAGUCUUUCAAAAUAGUCUAAAUAAUUUAUAUAAAAAUCUCUUAUAUUUAAUGACGAUGAAAAGAGAGAAUAAAAAUAGAGAUAUAUUUAAUUAUUAAUAAAAAAUAUUUUAAUUAUAUUUUAUAAUUCGUUUAAGAAGAAAAAAAAUACUUUAACUACCAUCCAAAUUUAAAAAAAAAAAAAUUAGGGCGAGAGAGAGAAAAGAGAUCUAUGAAAAAAUUUAAUCUCCUUUCCUCCUAUCCAAAUGAUUAAACCCAACAAAUUAAAAUUAAUUUUUUUCUCAAUCUCCUCCCAACAAACAAAUUCUAAAAAACAAAAUACUGAGUGGAAGUGAAAUUAUUCAAUAAUUAUACUUGAAAUAUAAUAAUUUUAUAUGGACUUAAGAAAUAUUUAAUUAAUUUUAAAAAUACACUGUUCCUUUGUUUGUAAAUAAAUUGGUAAAGAAAUUUUCACAAUUACAAAGUCUUAAGUUCGAUUUAUGAACAUGAUAUUCAACUUAACAACAUUGAUAUUUGUUAGUUAAAUUAAGUUUUACAGUGUUUCUUUAUUUGAUUAAAAUGCUAAAUUGCACUUUAUAUUUUAUCUAGUUCUCGAAUAGGUCAUUCAUACAAGUCAUAUCGAGUUAUUAAAAUAAAUCGAUAAAUAACAAAAUAUAAUUGUUAUAAUUAUGAUUCAAUUAAAAAUCAUUAAAAUAUCUUUAAAUCUAAAUAAUAAAAUAUUAAAAAUAAAAGUAUUUGUUAACUCAAAUAUUUUUUGACAAUGCACAUCUUUAAUGUCGGUGUUUGGUAUUUAUAUGUAACAUAGUAUUUGAUUACAAUAUGUUUCAUCAUAUUUUUGAAUGUACAAACAACCUAUUUAUUUUUAAUAGAUUUAUGGUGGAUUUCUUUUUAUAUACAACGACUCAUCUUUUAGUUCUUGUUGAAAAACUUAAUUUCUUAUUUUGAUUUUUCUCUAAUUCACAUGAUCGAUAUUAUGUGUUUUUCUAUUGGAGUUACAAAAUAUGAGUUUUAGGUUUUUUAAAGAUGGAGUGAAAGAGAAAGAAUGUGAAGAGGAAGAUGAUAAAGAAAUAAAAGAUGAAGAUCGAAUCUGAACGAAAACUAAUUUAAAUUUAGAAAACUAUAUUAGUGUGUUUUUUACAAAACUUAUAAGAUUAAUCUGUAUCAUUUACUUUUAUAACUUACCAUAUUAACAAAGUCAUACACACGUUAGUAUCAUAACAGCCAUAUGACAUUUUUUUUAACAAAACUAAUGAAAAACAACUUUUUGCAAAAAGACAAUAACUUAAAUACUAACCUUAUAAACGAAAUGUCAUGAUCGAAUUGAAUAUAAAAAAAAAUCAAAAACUAAAUCAAACAUAAAGAAUUAAAAUUACAAUUUAACCUUUUUAUAUUGGUCAUUACUUUUUACUUAAACUAAAAAAACAACCUAGCACGGUUAUCUGCUUUAAAUAAAAACAUUGUUAUCCUACGUCACUUUUGGAUCAGAUAGCAUCAAAUCAAAUGUGUUUUAAGAACCGAUUUUAGUAUUUUAAAUUGAUUGAAUUUCUAUCAAAGAUCGAAUACAGUAUUGCUGUCCACCAAAAGGUGUCGUCGUGUCGAGUAAUUUGUGUUCAUGUUUAAUAGUGUAAUUUAUCCGUAAGGCUUAAAUAUUUUUCUAUUUUUAAACUUUUCCAAAAGGAUUAAAUAUCUUAGAAGAAAAAGAAAUGUACCAAAACAAAUUAUCUUAGAAGAAGUUUAUGAAUGAAAUAUAAUUUUAUUUUGUUUUAAAGCUUAUUAAUGUUUUUUAACUAUAAAGCAUAUUAAUGUUCUAUAACUUUAUGUUAUGUUCUAUUGAGUGGUAAAUGCGUUUUUAUUACACAUUUGAAUGUAAGUUAUGUAACAAAACUUCCGUAAAAUCAUCCCAAUAUAUUUUAAACAAACAACUAAUGACUGUCAAUUUUUUGUUUUUGUCUCUAAUAGUUUUUGACCAAAUAAUUUGACCAAAUAAUGAGUAAUAGUUGUUUUCUGUACAAAUGGGUUAUGGCUCUAAAUAAAUUUUAGCCAUGGAGUGGUAGAGCUAGCUGGAAACAUAGACAUGGUGUUAUAAAUUCAAGUAAAUAUAAAAACCGAUAUUUUUUAAUUAAUUUUGUCGUAUAAAGUUUGAUUAUAUUUUAUCAAUGUCGUCGAAUAAUUUUAUAAAUAAGCAUAAUGCUACAAUGAUUAAAUUGCGAGUGGGAAGGUAAGUAUUAAAAAAACUUGUGGACUAUGUCGUCUUUAUUAUGAGUAUUUUUCUUAUUCUAUUUUUACUUGAAGGUGAAAUAGAGAAAACGGCAAAUUCGCUUUCUCUUUAUGGUGGAACAUCAUCUAAACAACUAUUUUGGGAUACACUAUCACUUUAUAAGAAUGAUGGGGCAUGUGAUUCAAAAAUCUCAAUACCUUUAGUUUUGCUAUGUUUGACUAACAAGGUUGAUGAUUAAUAACAAAUCCCAACAAUCUCAUCUCUAAAUUAUUCAAAAUUAUAUAUUUUCCAAAGAACAAUUAUCUUGGGUUAUUAAAUGCAAUUUAAAUUAUGUUUGGUGAAACAUUUGAAGUGUCAAGUUAGUGGUUCAAGAAGGUACUUGUUAGAGUAUUGGUUUGGAUGCAAAUAUUCCUCCUUGAAAUGAGGGAUGGCUCCAUGAUGGUUCAAUGUUAUCAAGGCCAACCCAUAAUGCGGUGAAUUAGAUCAAUUGAAAAUCUCAUGUUCUAAACUUGGAAUACCCCUAUUUCAUUACAAGGUUGUUCCAUCAAAUGAUGUGGUAACAAAGAUCUAAAGUAGUAUGUUAUUUGCAGAAGUCUUGGAAGAUAAGAGGAUUUAAGGAGCUUAAAAAAAUGUUAUUUAUUCUAUCGAGAGUGUCUAAUAGUUAUGUAACGAACUCAUUGACACAUAUGAUAUUAAUGUAGAUGGUAAUUAGCAGUUUAUUUGGCAACAAGAAGUUCAAUAAAAAAUUAAGAACUUAAUUUGGGGCAUGUGUAGAAAUUGUUUGCCUACUAGGAAAUGGAAAGGAAGAUAGUGUGCAUAUAUUUUUUAGUAACUUGUUCAAAUAGCAGUCACAUUUGGGCUCGUUGCAAUUUACUCACUGAUUUAAACAUGAAGCUGUCAGCAAUUCGAAUGUGGCAGAUCAAAUUUUUACACUAUUGCAGCAGUGCAAUAAGGAACAAUUUGCUAGAAGAUUGGUCCAUUGAUUGAACAAACCACCUGAUAGAAGAUUGGUCUAUUGUGCACCAAUUCAGACAGACUGCUGUUGGACAGGGACAACAGUAGAGUCUUGUCGGAUCAACAGUUUGGUCGCGGCCAGAUUCAAAUGUCAUCGCCGACACCACCUUCUCAACCAACUCAAUCGAGUAGGCAUUGUUAUAUGCAUUCAUGAUGGUCGAGUCAUUUGUGUUUGCAAAAAACAGAAUGGAUGUCAUCUCUUUGCUUGGCUCGAAAACUGUUGCUGACAAUUUCUUCUGUCAUACUAUCAUGUUUUACUUUCUUUAUACAAACUCUCAUGGUAAUUUUAUUCAAAGGCAAAUCAUUGAAAUUGUUUAUACUAUUGCCAUAGAUUAAUUGUUUUGAAGAUAAAGAAUCUGAAUAAUGAUUAAAGAUUAAUUAACUUGUUUGUCUAUGUUUCCAGCUAGCUCUACCGCUCCAUGGCUAAAAUUUAUUUAGAGCCAUAACCCAUUUGUACAGAAAACAACUAUUACUAAUUAUUUGGUCAAAAACUAUUAGAGACUAUCAUGUUAAUUGUUUUGAAGAUAAACAAACAAGUUAAUUAAUCUUUAAUCAUUAUUCAGACUGUGUUGCUAUUUAACUUGUCUUUUUUAGUGUAUUAUUCGAAGAUAGAUAAUCAAAUACACCUAUACAACAAUCAAGAUCAUUCUGAUUUUCAACAUAUCAUUGUAGUUUAUAAGAAUAUCAAUUUCGACAAACCAAUAAGAUUCUCAUUUAUAACAGUAUCAUUCUCAUCGAUCAACAUUAUUAUAGAUAAUUUGUUUUAAGGAUAAAAAUGAAAUGAAUAAUUUUCUAAAGUACAUAUCUUAAGUAAAACGAAUAUCAAGACAACUCAAAACAAUGAUCAAGCUCAAAAGUUUAGCUAAAGGAUCUAAGAAGCAAAAUUAAGGCAUCAAGAGCAAUAAUCAGAUUAAUCCCCAGAUUGUUGAGCUAUGAACGAGUACAACUAGAACAACAAGGAUGAAAAGGACACUACUGAUGCACCUUGUGCACAAAGGUCAACAUGCGCGCAAAGCAGAAAGCUGACACCUACUAAAGAAAACAUCAGUCACAAUAUUCAUUCAAAUACAAAAUCAAGAACGUUCUGGUUGCAAAUGAAGAACAUUAUGAAUAAAAUAGAACACAUGCCUAUUAAUUAUCACUUUGGACAAUUGUCUCUCUUAAGGAUCAACAAUGGUCAUAAUGAGCUAUCUGUAACCUUCAUCAUGUCUAUAAAAAGAACAUCAAGAUGAAGACAAAUGACAAGAGUUUUUAGUGCAAUCAAUUUAUCACUAAAACAAUCAUACUCGAGAAAUUAAAACUCUUCAAUCAAGCAAAAGCUCUAGUUGUCUUACACUGGAUUCAAGGAUCUUUGUAAUUGAGUAAUUGCUGAUAAUCAAUCUCAAACAAGUGUCGAGUAGAUUAUGAUCUUACAACCAUCUUUUAUAAUUCCAUUUGAAGCUCAAGUCUAUUUCUUAAAGAUAAUUUGAGUGUAUUGUAAAAAAAUUUGUGUGAAUAAUAUGUAUAGUGCAAAAAAUACUUUAUGGACCAAAAGAUAACUGUAAAAAUCAUUUCAAUGUUGAAAGUUGAAUGAUGUAACUGAUUAAGAAAGACAGUAUGAAAGCAAUAACGUUCUUGUGUGAAGCACAUUAAUAAAAAAACUCACAAAUUGUGAGGACUGAACGUAAUUCAUUUUUUAUGACUAGCCAAGGUUGAUCUUGAGUUAAUUUAAAUUAUAAAACAAGAAUUAAUAUUUUUAAAGGGAUCAUAAUUUAAACAUUCUUUCUUGUGAUUGAUAUUACUACUUCAAUAAUUUCAUCUUUAAUUAACUUUCACACUCUGGUUGACGUACCAACAUGUAUUCUAUCAUUUUACUAUAAAUAAAAUGUAAUAAGCAUUUUGAGUAAAAAAAUAAUUUAAGUCCCAUUCUAUAUAUGUUAAAAUAAGUAUUGUUUUAGUAUACAUACAAUGUUUCAAAAUAAGUGUCAUUUUUUUUAAUAUAACAUUAAUUACUUUUUUUUACAUUAAAUUAAUAUCGAUUUCACCACUCUCAACUCAUUAUAUUAUGAUAUACAUUUAUUUGUGUUUUUUUUCUUCUUCUUCUUCAGAUUUUGAUAUACAUAGGCUCAUAUUGAUGAUAACUGUUAAUAAAUAUAAUUUCAUAAAAUUUAAUUUUUUUCCCAUUUAUUAUUAUUUUUUAAUCGGUGUAAACAAACCAAAUAUAGAAGUUUUAUUUAUUUAUUAUUAUUAUAGAAGAUAGAAGUUAUUUGUAACAAUUUUCUCAGUGCCUUAGAAAUAUUGGUAAGAUUUAAUUACUAAUUAGAAUUUCUAGGAUUUUAUUAAUUAUUAAUGUUGUAUUUUUAGUAAUAUUAAAUUAAAAUUAAAGAUAGAAUAGAAACGUAGUAACAUUAACAAGUCCAAGUGACAAAGAAAUAACAUACCACCUUUAUUUUUCUUUUUCUCUUUCUCUCACAUGUACCCUUAACUAACAAAAACCUCCAUUUUAUUUCACCAACCAAUUGCACCAUCUUCUCCACCAACAAAUCUCAUUUUCUCUCAAAACAUUAAGAAAACACUAACACUAUUACUAUUCAUCGUCUCCCUCAUCCAUCAAUUUUCUUAUUAUUUCCAAAAUUCUUCAAAGACAAAAGUUUUCUAAAGUCUUCUACAUCUGCUUGAUCCCUUACAUGUCGUUUUAUUCCUCUCAAGAUCUAUUAAUUGACCAAAGUAACACUAAAAGAAAAUACAUAGCAACAUUUGGAGCAUCUCUAAAUUUGAAUCAGAGUAUAAAUGAUAUAAGAGCUAAAAUCUGAGAAAACAAGUAAAUUCCCCAACCAGUUCGAAGUAUAGGAAUCCCUUCUCGGGAAACUGUGAAUUUUGUUACAUUAACUAUUUUUAGCGUGAUGAUUUUGAGAAUUUAUUCACUUAAAUUCUUUACUUUUUGUCAAAAACUAUUUUGGGAGUAUCACGGGUUAAAAGAACUUAGAGCGUGAGAAAAAUGGAAUUUUUAGCAUAUAGGUGUUUUGAAACUGCACUCAAAUGAUUUUAAAAUAUAAGGCGUGUUGUUUGUUUGAUCUUUGUAUGAUUGUUGCUUUAGAAGUUUAGGAACCCUUAGGAUUUUGAGUAAAUAAUUGUAGUUUAAUGUGAGAAUUAUGUCACUGAAGGCAAAUGUGUGUGCCUUUGACGCUUUUUCACCCUUCCAUUUGUAGUUUUGCCUUUAGGUGUCAUUAUGUAACUUUGGAAGUUUUUGCCUAUAGUUCAUAACUCAUGAUCUUCGGCAUUCUGCCUCUAAUGAUUAACUUACGUUUUUGAGCACAUUUCCUAUAAUUCUAUUUCUCAACUAUGAGUAUUUCUGCAUUUGGUUUCUCUUUCUAUUUUUGUCUAUGUUAGUUGUUCUAUGGUUCUUGUAUUUUGCAUAUGGUAAAUUACUAAUGUUUUUUCCUCUAGUGAAAUGAUUUUAUUUUGCCUUUUGUUGUUUCCUUUCUGUGUUUCUUCUGAUCAUGAUGCCUUUGAUUCAGAGUUUGCCUCUGGUCAUGUUGCCUCUGAACAGAGUUUACCUUUAGUCAUGAUGCCUCUGAUCAAAGUUCCUCUGAUAAUGUUGCCUUUGAUUAGAGUUUGCCUCUGGUCAUGAUGUCUCUGAUCCAUGUUCGUAUGACCAUGUUGCCUAUAAUCAUGUUUCCUUUGGUUGCCUAUGAUUUUGUACUCUCCGGUUCUUCCCAUGGACGUGUACCUUCUGAUUCUUCUCAUUGACGUGUAUCCUCUAAUUCUUCUGCUAUACUGUGUUUUCUGAUUCUGCCUCUGAACGCGUAUCAUCUUAUUCUUCUCCUGUAUAUGUAUCCUCUUAUUCUUCCCCUACGUGUAUCACUGUAUUCUUCCCUUGGACGCAUAUCAUUAGAUUCUUUCUCUGAACAUGUAUCAUUUGAUUUCUCCCGUAGACGCGAUCCUCUUAUUGUAAUACAAUAAGUGAUAUAUCUUUUUGCUAUUCAAAUAUCCCAUAUACAAUAAUGUAAGACCAACUACCAAUUAUCUAAAAUUAUUUAUAAUGCAACUUUAAUUUAGUACUUUUCUAUCUCAUAUACAAUAAUGUAAGACCCAAUAAUGUAAGAUACAAUACCAAAUAUCCCAUAUAUAAUAAUGUAGUACUUUUCUAUUUUAAAAUAAAUAUUAUUUCUAAUUUUAAUACAACUUUAAAUUUUUUUUUCUAUACUACCCUUCAAUUAUUAUUAUAUCUAUAAUUUUUAAAUUAUACUUUACAUUGAUAAUAGUAAAAGAUUUAUCAAUAAUUAAAAUGAUUAGUUCAAUAAUAUGAUUUAUCUUUUUUUUUUAUUUCUAAUUAUUGUAUUUUUAAUAUAUGUGUAGAAAAAAAAUAUUUGGUAUUGAAGAGUGGCAGAUUUCCGAAGUUAACAUUCAAAAAAGGUAGGGGUAGAUUUUGAGAGUUAACUAAACUUGUGGCAAAGGUAUUUAAGAGGAAAAAAUAAGGGUAUUAGAAGAAACAGAGGUGCAAAUAGCAACCUCGUAGUAAAAAUAUGUACCAAGAUUUGCUCAAAAGAAUCAACGGUCAGAUUUUUAAUUUGCUGCCUACUCCUGUAUGGGUUUUAAGUAAAGCGCCUUUUUUAAUGGGCCGCAGUACAACUUUUAUUGGAAGAAGUUGCUUUAGCAUUUUCAGUGAGGUGCAAAGUUUCGAUGACUUCAAGGUCUCUUUCAAAAAUUAAUAUUCCUCUAUCCCACAGUAAUUAAUUGAUUUAAAAAAAAUAUAUGUCCUAAAAUAAAUGAUUUAUUAAAUUUUAAUAUAAUAUUUAAUUUUUUUUAAUUUUUUUAUACCGUUUACAUUAAUGUUAAUAAUAAAUGGGUUAAUAUUUAAUAAUAACUGUUUAAUAAAAAUACUACUUUUCUCUCUUACUUUAUUAUUUUUUUGUUGCGUGUAAAAUAAUCAAAUUGUUUAAUUAUUAUGGGAGGAAGAGAAUACUAAUUACUUUUUUGCUAAUGCAUGUUAUGCUAAACUUAUAUAUUUUUAUGAUUAAUUAUUGAAUAAUACAAAAAAAAAGGGUAAAUAAAAUCGAUGUAAGAAUAAAAAAAGUAAAUUAUUAAUUAAUAUAAGUCGUCAGAGAAACUAAAGUAAUACAAAAAAUUAUACAGAUAUAAUAAAUGAAUUGAGUUCCCAUCAUUUAAAUAAAUUCAAAUUUUGGUAAGACGUGAGUUGAAUUAUUACCAACUAGUCUAACUACGAUUGUCACAAAACUAUAUAUGAAUUUGGAGUAUUAAUUAAUGCCAUGCUGAUUUUAAUGUUGAUUAAGCCUAGAGAGGACAAAAAUGGUAGCUGAGGAAGUGACUAGAGCUGCAGCAAAACAAGCAAGAUCAAGGCCUGUAACCAUAGGAAUAUCAUUGAACUUUUCUAUUAGUCCCACUUGAAGAAUCAUAGUCACCGCAUGCCCAAUUUUUGACUUUGCUUGCUCAAUUGAUUGCAUCCCCGCCCAUCUUGGUGCCAACUGAAAUUGAGAUUAUUAGAACAUUAAUUCCAUACUAGUAGUAGUAAUUAGCCAAUAUAUAUAUAUAUAUAUAUUUUGGACAAAUUAGUUUAUAUCUUUAGGUAGUGAUGAUUGUGAAAAUGAAAUUAAUUCCAAAAUGUACGUUUAAAUUUGUAGUUAAUUACCUUCAUUAUAUAAAAGUGAUUACCAAAACGCCGAGGUUGUUUUUCUUUACUAGUAGCCGAUGAUGAGCCCACAAACAUGACGUACAAACCCACCCCAAACAUGAGUAAGGCUGUUCCUACCAAGAACAUAUCUGCAUGCAAUAAACUAAGCAUAAUUAAUCAAACUAGCUAGUUUAAUGAAUGAAAUUUGUUAAUUGUGUCAAAAUUUAAUAACAAAAUGGAUGGAUCUAGGUAGACACAAACCUAUGGCUUCGAUAAGUAGAUGAACCAAAUGUCCCUGAUCCAACUUUUGAGACAACAUAUGGAAAUAAUGCACGUAUGACUCAAUAACGAGAACACAACCCUGCAUUUCAUAAACCAUUUUUCUAUAACUUUCUUGGUCAUCAAGUAACAAAUUAAUACAAAAAAAUGUAGUAUUACCAAAAGGCUUGAUUUUUACCUCUAAAAAACACAAUACAGAGCCAAGUAAGGAUCCAGCUACGGCGAACAAUGUGAAAAAUCUACAAUCCAUGAUGGUCUGCACCAGUAAUUGAACCCAAUAUUAAUUACAAAUUUACAAUAUGAAGUAAUUAACUAUCAAUAUACACCCCCUCAAAUCUUUAUUAUAAAUGAGAAUAAUUAACUUCACAUUUAUUAAAUAAUAGUUAAAUACAAUUAAUUAAAUUUCUUGAUCUCAUAAAAAAUAUAAGUGCAAUCUUAAAAGAGUCUUGCAUGGAAACUUGUUACAUGGGAUAAAAGAGUUAUAAAAAAAAAAAAAUUAUAUUAAUUGAAAGGUAUUUUAGCAUAAACAUCAUUAAAUUGAUUAGAAAUACUUUUUUUGUGUGUGCAUAUAUAUGAGACAAAAAGUAAGAAUAUUUUUUAUUUAUAUUCAAGACCGGAUCCAUUUUUAACAGACUUUUGUCAUUUUCUCAUAUAUUAAAAAGUUGUAUACUUAAAUGUUAAUUUUAUAUAUUAAUGUUACUAAACUAUGCUGUUAUACAUUCAUGUAUAUCAAUGGAGUAUAAUUAGCUAGUAGUAUGAAAUCAGUAAAUUAAAAUAAAGAAGCAAAUAUAGAAGUACCCUUUCAAUGAGCAUUUGAGGUUGUAAAGUCCAUGGCUUCCUUUUGAUGACAACAUCCCGCAAAAGAACAACCAGCAUAGAAUUUCGAAUACAUGCUAUGGUUGCAGCUAAUAAUUUUGACAAUAAUUCUUUAUGAAGCACUGGUUGUGAUAUGGUUAAGUGGUUGGUAGUAGUCAUUGAUGCCUUCACGGCCACCACCGAUUUCCUUUCUUUUUUCUCACUUGAAACUAUCAUACUAUCUUUUCUCAACCAGACCCUUCUUUGACAUCUUACACAUUUUGGAAAUAAAAAAGAAAUAGAAGAGAAAGGAGAAGAAAAAUGAUCAAAUGGCGCAGUAGAAUGUCGCAACAAUCUAAGUGUUGCCAUUGAUCUCAAUUGAAAUGUUAAAGUUUGGUCAAUAUAAUUAAAUUCCAAUUAGAAUUUUUUUUAUGCAAAUUCCUAAUAUUAGAAUUUUAGUGGUAUAUAUAGGAGGUGGGUGUGAAGCAAUAUAUACCACAUAUAGAUGCAUGAAUGAUGCAUAUUAAGAAAAGAAGAUUCGAGGUAUAUUUAAUUAGGUGAGUUUGGAGUUUGGACACAUGCUGAAGUUUGAAGCUGAACUUUCCAACGGACACAAAUUGAGCGAAAGGAAUCAUCACAUGCCAAUUUCCUUUCGAGGUUUUCCCAUUUUGCAGGACGUGUUUUGUUUUGAAUUUUUCUAAACAUUUCCAGAACGUGUGGGCUCCCUCAAGUUUUGCAACGUACAGGUGUUACUUUUAAGUUUUUAUGCUUUUUUUAUAAAUAUCUUAUGAAAAAUUACAUGUCCAAUUAUUCUGUUUUUUUAAUUAAAAAUAACACUCUUAUAAAAAUUAAUGUAGUUUUAAAAACAUCAUCAUAAAUUGUAAUGUGACGUAUUUUUGUACAGAGUAACACUAAUUUUUUUGAUAUGGUAUUAAUCUUUAUUUUAGUUUGUUCUGAAACAUAAAUCAGAAUUGAUUAAAAAAAGUGAUGUAUUUGAUCAUAUUUUAAAUCAUAUAUAUUAAUAAGUUUUAUAUAAAUCAGAAUUUUUUGAUUUUAUAUAUAAGAAAAAAUUACUAUUUUUAAGUAUUUAUUGUUUAAAUUACUUUUAUAUCUUUAUUUAAUAUGUUAGUUUUUUUAAUAUUAUUCAUAAAUAUUUAAUGUCUCAUAAUAAAAGUGUAUAUAUAUAUAUAUUUAUAUAUAUAAUCAAAAGUUAAAACAAUUAAUAAGCGAAUUCAUUUUAAUGUUUUUUUAUCACUUUUUUUAUAAAUAAAAAUAAAAAAUAAUACUUUUUUAAUAAUUUUUAUUUAUAUUUUGAGAUAAAUAAAAUAUUAUUUUUAAGGCACUGGCUAAUGUAAACUAUUUUUAUUUAGAGAAUUAAACUGUAAUAGUUUAACUCUUGUAUUAAGUCAUGACUGAAUUACGGAAGAAAAAGAAAAACAAAAAAAGAAUUACGGUAACUUUUUGCUGUCAUUUUCACGGAAAUAUAAAUAUUGGUAUAAAUGGUGUGUAAUUCUCAGUUGAUAUUUGUUGUGGUGCGCUUCUUCGCGGUAUCAUGGCAGCCGCCAAGGUGUCCUGUAUGACUAUUUAACAUUUCCACGCAUUCGCUUUAUUAUUGACCAACAAUUUCGCCAACCCACCAAUGAGAUAUGAUUUUUGUCUAAACUAUGUUGCCGUCCAUUUGUCUUCUUUUUAUUUUUAAAUUUUAUGAAUUAGUUUUUUUUUAAUAAAAUUUACAAAGAUCUAUAUUGUUAGUUUAAACAUUUUAUUUUAUAUUUUAAUUUGAUAUUUCAUAAUUAUAUAAAUUAAUUAUGAUUGUAUUUAUUAUUAUCUUUAAUGAAAAAAUUAUUUUAACAAAUUGACAAACUUUUUAAAAUAAAUUAUAAAAAAAUGGAAAUAUAUCGUUACACCAAAAAAAAAAUUUAAAUAUUAAUUUAGAACAACCAACAUUCAAAAUAGAUGGAUUGAAUUUUUUAUUUUUUUGAGUUAAAAUUAAAAAGAGAGGAUAAAGAUAUUCAUAUAAUUGGUGGGUUUCUUUAUAAUUAUUAAAAAUAUUAUAAAAAAAUAAAAUUAUUCAUAAUAAUGUUUAUGCGGCUUACUAUCAUAAGAUUUAAAAGAAAAAUGUAAAAGAGAGAUUAACUUGAACGCAUUUUAUCAUAAAAAAAUAAUUAUAUUAAGAAAAAAUAGACUAAGUGAUACAACUAAAUAAGAUAAAUAAUUUGUUGUGUGAUGUUAUCUUAAAUAAUGAGUAAAUGAUUUAUACUCCCUCCAUCUUUUUUUAAGUGUGGUAUUUGGAUGUGUACAAUUUUUAAGAAAAUAUCUAGUUAUAAUAAUUUUAGUGACCAACUAGUUUUAUUUAUGUUGGUUUUGCCCAAAACAUGAUUCAAAUUCAUCAUAAAUUUAUUUUUUAGUUCGAAGUCGACUUGAUUUAAGUUCACAAAUAACUCGAUGGUUUGAAUCAAAUUAACCAAAAGACAAAAAAAAAAAAUUAAAAGAAAAAAUGUGUUUUUUCAACUUAAAGUAUUAAUAAAAAUUAAUAAUUUAUUAACCAAAGUCCAUAUAAUUUAAAUUAGACUAAAAAAUCAAUCUUCUUAUAUCUAUUUCUCGUUAUUCUUAAUUAUCUUAUUGUUGGUGAAACACUUCUUAUAUAGGAGAAGAGGAGGGUGUAAAUGGAUAUAUUUUUCAUUGUGGAAUUUUAAUAAUGAAGUUGGAAAGAGUUUUUUUAGUGUGAAAUUUCUAAAUGUUGAAUAUAAUUAAAUAACCAAUUUUUAUCAAUUAUAUAACACUUCAAACAAUUUUAUUUACCUUCAAGAUAUAAAAAAAAAUUAUGUAGAUUGUUUCUAACUUUUAACAUAGAGUUUUAUCUCAAAAUAAUAUUUAUAACAAAAUAUUAUCACCUUAUACUUGUUGAUGCCUUUUUUUUUAUUAUCACUUAAAAUAUUUCCAACUUUUAACAUAGAGCAACAAAUGCAAUAUCUUACCUUAUAUUUGUUGAUGCUUUUAUUUAUUUAUUAUGUUAUAGACUAAAUUUGAUUUUUCUAUAACCAACGAAGUUGUAUGAUCUUUUUAGUAGGUUUCAAGUGAUAUAAGUUUCAAAUUAUUUUUAUUUCGUUUCAAAAUAACAUUUAAAAUAUACUAAAUUAUUAUUUUUGUAUAACUAUCAUGUAAAAUUUAUUUCAUACAAAAAUAAAAUCAUAUAAAAUUAUAUAUAUAUAUAUAUAUAUAUAUAUAUAUAUAUAAUGAAAUUGAUAAUAUAUAUAUACAUACACCGAGUUGGUUCAUGAACCAAAACAAGUCGAAGUAUACUUAAUUCAACCUCAACUAAUUUAUUUAGUGAGUUCAAUUUUCAACUUAUUUGAUUCAUAAACUAAAUUUAACAAACUAAUUAUUAAAUUAAAUCUCAAACUAUUUAUGAGUUAAUUGGAUUAAUUAUCGAUCAUCAUUCAUUUUCAACCCUAAGUGCCAAUUUAUAAGUACAACUAUAAAAAGAAAGAAAAAAAAGCGGUAAACACAAAAUAUAAAAGCGAAGGAAUAAACACAAAUAAAAAUUAUAAAAACACUUCAAAGAUUGACUCAAGACUUUCGAAUUCUCAUAAAAUAAUUUAACAUAAAAAAAAAAAAAAAUUGACAGUGGUUAUGGUGCACCUAGGCUAGGUGCCAUGGUUAGUCUUAGUCUCUUAUUAAUACUAUUUAUAUAUCUGAUUAUAAGUACUAUUUUAAUUUUUAGGUGAAAAAUCAUUAAUUAUGAUUUGUCGGUACCAUUUUAAAUUUACUAUAUGGAUUUAAUUUUUUAAUUAUAUCUCUUAAUAAUACUAUUAAUUUAUUUUAAAAUAUAAAAAGUUGAGUCAAAUACAAUUAAAUAUAAAUAUUAUUUUUAGAACAUUUACUAUCAAAUAUACACGUUAAAUUGUAUAAAAAUGAAUGGAGGUUGUUAGUAGUAAUUAUUGAAGAAUAUAAGUUGACAUACAAUAAAUAAUGAUAUGUUAAUAGAAAAUAUAAUUAAUGUUUCAUUGAUAAUAUUAAAAGGCAAAUAAUAAUAUUAGACAAAUAAAUAUCAUAAAUUAUAAAUAAGACACAUAAUAUGAGAGUACCAGUAAAUAACAAAAUCUUUUUUUUGACAACACUUACUUGUAAAUUAUAAAUGUUAUUUAAAUUUUAUUAAAUAUAUAAAAAUGAUUAUUAUGGUAACAAUGAUACAAUUUUUUUGACAUACAUAACCAUUAAAUCAAUGAAAAUGUUUUAAUUUAAUUAUAAUUAUUUCUGAAGUCUAAUUAUAUUUACUUCAAAAGUCAAUAUGGCAAAAAAAUUACUUCAAAAAUUAAAACAUAUGAAUUUUACACUACAUGUUCACAGUGCGUAUUUCAAAAGGAAAAGGAAUACAAAAAAGAUAAAUUUUGAACCUGACGUGAAUCGAACACGCAACCUUCUGAUCUGGAGUCAGACGCGCUACCAUUGCGCCACAGAUCCAAUGGAUGUAAAUCAAGGGAAUUAUAUUUAUAUAUAACAUAUAUGUUAUUUACAAGCUUUCAGAGGUCGACUGUAAACUAUCCCCUCCUUUAACUCAUUGUGCACAUAUGCCUGGUUACUUCUCAAGUUGGUGAAUUGCUGAGUAUCUUGAAGACUGAAGUUACGUGAUUACAUGAAAUAUAUAUUUCACAAAAUCAUAGCAUGGAAUAUUGAUCACUAAGAACCUAAGAAGGUUCAAUGCAUCAGUAAAGAGAAAUUUAUUUUGAGGUUUUUAAAGUCCAUAAUAGUAUUUAGUAAAAUUAUUAAAACUUAUCCGAAAUUAUUUUUUACACGUCUUAGAGCAUAAACUUAAUAUUUAUUAAACUAAAUUAUAUUUGUUGUCUAUUAACUUAAUUUCAACUAACGUUUUAGUUAUUUAUCUUUUUUUUUUAUUUGAUUUUUUUUAAAAUGUUAAGUGACAAUUUGAUAUUUUAUGUUUUAAAAUAUCAACAACGUUAUCUUUUUUUAUAUAUAUAUAUAUAUAUAUAUAUAUAUAUAUAUAUAUAUAUAAAAUUUUAAAAAAAUCAUUAAAUUUUUCAAACAAAACACAUAAAAUUAAUAAUCAUCUUCAAUAUAAUACAAAUUUUCUCAAAUCCAUAACUCAAAUAUUCAAAUAAACUCAUAUUUUUAUCUUCAAUAACAUCAAAUAAAGAAUGAAAAUAUGAGUUUAUUUAAAUAUUUAAGUUAUAAAUUUGAUUAAAUUUGCAUUUUAUUGAAGAUGAUAAUGAAUUUUAUGGAUUUUAUUUGAAAAUUUUGAUGAUUUUUUUAAAAAAUUUUUUGUAAAAAGAAGGACAACAUUGUUGAUAUUUUAAAACAUAAAAUAUCAAAUUGUCACUUAAAAUUAAAAUAAAGAACCAACUCAGAAAAAAAAAAACAAAAAAGUUAACUGAAAUUAGGUUAAGAGACCAUAUAUGUAAUUUAGCCUAUUUAUUAAAUAUAUAUAAUCGAUUUUGUAUAUUUUUUUUAAUUGAUAACAUAGUCACUUGAUUUAACUUUUUAUCUACGAUCUCAAUUGUAGAUAAAAAUUUAUUAGUUUUGAUUUUAAAUAUAUUAGAAUAUUGAGUCUUUUUAUAUAUUAAGCGAAAAAGAAAAUUUAAAUGUAUUUUUGUCAAGUAAUUUUUUUCUAACUUAAAAUGACAGCUUUAGUGGCUUUAUUCGUGUACCAACCUUGUUUGGACCUUAUCCUAGAUAUAUUUGUUUUGAGCCGCCUCUAUGUGUUACGAAAGAGUUACAUAUUUAGUGUUACUUUGUGUUAUUUUAUACGGGUGAAGUUUUUUUAAUAUAAGUGUACAAAACUAUUGUUAUUAGUUAUUGAAUUUUUGUCAACCAUUACAAUAAAUAUGCAGUGGAAUAUAAAAAAUUUAAUUUUGAAAUAACUGACCAAACUUUGUACUAUAGAAAUAUCAGUUUUAAUUUCAAAUAUUCAACCGAAGUUCAACUACAAUCUAACUGAUAUUGAUAAAAUAUUAUUUGAUCUUAAUAUUUUUAAUAUAAUAUAUUAAAUAACAUUGAACAAAAAAUAAUAUAAAAUUCAAAACAAUAGGUUAACAUCCUUAAAUGUGUCCUAAUUCACAAUAUAUUAUAAGUAAAAUCUCAUAAUAUUCAUUUACAACUACAACAAUAAUAUCCGUUGGCAAAUAAUUCAUAUUUUAUAUUCUGUCCCUUUGUUGUGAGAUUAUUCUAGUACCAAUCUUUUUUAUUUACUGAACUAUACCUAUAUUUAUAUUUAAAAACGUUAUUGUUUGCUUCAAAAUGAUUACUAAAAAAACAAGACCUUUUCUGCAAGAAAAAUAAAUCAAAUAAAAACUCAAAAUACUUAAAAAUAAAAGUUGUUGUUUCUUGACUUUAUUUUUUUUAGAAAAGGUGUGUUUUUAUUUUUUUAAACACUUUGGAUUAACCACCCAUUUUUUAAGAUUAUUUCGAUUUUAGACCUAUUCUAAUAGUUUUCUCUCGAUUUAUUAUCUUUAUAAUUUUGAGGGUUAAUUAAAUUAAAUGGUAUUCUUAAAUUAUUUGACACUUACUAUAGUUGUCCGUAUUUAACUUAGGAGUAUUGUGAUAUUUGGGGAUUAUUAUCAUGUGGCAAAGCUUCUAUGAGUAUAUGAGUGGGUAUCACGAUGGAAGAAAAAUUUGUUUCGUCAAUUUGUAACUUUGUUGACUUGACUGGGGUUUCGAUCUCAUUUGUCAUUAUCUGGAAAUAGAAACAAACAUAAACUAACGAGAUUGCACAUCGGCUUCUUCCUUCCCACUAUCCCUCACGUCAUUGCAUUUGCACAUGAUUUUUGUACUUUCCACCCAACCUCAAGUAAUUUCACAAUUCUUCUGGGGUCAAUAUAGACAAUGCUCUAAAUCUCAUGACCCACCACUCUCCUCAUUUCCCCUCUACAAAAUAACUGGAUUCUCUACAUUAGAAAAUAAAAUUCAGAUAUAGCUCCAAAGACAUUAUUAUGUCGAAGCUUGUUCGAUUUGAGAUUUUCCAAUUUUCAACAUUUAGAAUGUGUAAUUAAUUCUCAUUACUAGGUUACUUGAAGAAAAAAAAGAAAAAUACGGUUGUUACAAAAAAAAAAAAUACGGUUGUUACAAAAAAAAAAAGAAGAAAAGAACAGAACACACGAAUUAAUUAACUUUAUAAUUAAUUAGAAAUCAUUUUAUUUAUAUUUUAUUCUAAAGAAAAUAAUAAUUGUUGAGAAUCGUUUUAUAAAAGGGUGUUUCUACUGUACAUCUAAAAAUUGAUAUGUUCUAACACUAUAAAUUCAUUUAACGAAUAGUUAAAUAAUUUACAUUAAAUGAAUUAAUUUAUAGAUUAUACAAUUUAACACCAUAAGUUUUUAAGUUUUAAAUUUUAAUUUUUUUUAAAAUUAAUAUUAUUUAAUAAACAAAUUAAAAAUUUAAUCCGAUUUUUUUAAUAAACGAGGCCGAAGUCAUAAUAAUUUAAUUAAAUAUAUUAAUAUAAUUUUAAUUUAUCAACUUUUAAUAUACUGUAUGAAUGGUGAAAGAAUAAGUUAGUGGAAAAUUAAAUCAAACUAUUAAUUAAUUUUUUGAUAGUAUUUACACUUUUCUUUUUAUUUAAGUUUUUUUUAGCUUAAAAAAAAUAUAAAUAAAGAAAGAAAGUCACUAUUAAUGUAGUAGACUAAGACUUUAUAGAUAGCGAAAUGAUAUAUAACUACAAAUAAAAAAGUUAGAUACGUGAAAGAGAAGAGAAACUGGCAGACAGAGCAGAGGUGUUAUUUCUCUUUCUGUUAUAUGAAUAUGAGGUGUAGACUUUUUGGUGAAAUUGAGAAUUGAGAUCAAAACAGAAUCAUCGUCUUGAAACUUUUGAGGAGACAGCGUUGGAGUUUGUGUGUGUCUUAUUUGCUGGUUUAUUAAUUCAUUUGGCUUUUAAAUUAAUCAAUCAAUAAAAGUGAAUGGUUGGCGGUGGAAAUGGUGAGGAACGACCGCCGUGGUCGAUGGAGAGUGGUGGGACCCCUGUUGGGUUGAGUCCGGGUCCUAUGACUCUUCUUUCCAACUUGUUUGGUGACAACGAUGACUGCAAGUCGUUCUCUGACCUCCUUGCCGGCGCCAUGCUGGAUGUGGACCCCGGUGGCGGAAGAGGUGGUGGUGGCGGCUUGUCACCGGUAACCAUGUUCACUGUUCCACCUCAGGUAACAAACGUCAACUCAUUCUUAAUUUAUUGAUUUUCUUUGUUUCAUCGUGUGUGUGACAAGUGUCACAUGAACAUUAUAUUUAAUUACUUUAUUUUUACACAUUUGUAUCGGUGGUUCCAUGGAGCAAGUCGCCAAUCCACCAAAUGGGUUAGUUCAAACGCGUAGGUCCGCUUUAAUAUGGACUUGAUCCUAUUAAUUUAUGUCUAAAUUUUUUCAAGGCUUCUUAGUCUCAUCUGAAAAAAAUCUGUUGCCCAUUUGAACUAAGUUAGUAUGGGUAUUGGAUAUCCAACAUCCCACAAAACUAGUUUUUUUAAAAAUUCAACUACAUAUCUAAAAAAAAAAAAAGAUUGACCAAAAAAUGUUUCAAUUCACUCAAUCAUCAUUGAUUUAUGGUUUACACCUAUUAAAAUUGAUUUAUUUUUAAUGUAUUUGCAUUAUACCAUAAAAAUAAUUAAAAAAAUAGGCAUGAAAGAAAAUUUUCAAAUUAAAAGAAUUGCAAACAAAUUAAAAAAAUAAUAUUGAAAAAGAGUAUGUAACUAUACAACCCGCAAUUCGCGUAGAAUCAUGACUUGGGUAUUAUUUUUUUGCUCGUAUGAAAACAUAACUUUUUAGUUAGAUCCGAAAAAAUCCGAAUAGUCCUUUUUGACAAGUCUACAAGACCCUUUGAAUUAGAUGAAAUAAAAAGUUGCACCUUCAAAGUCAAUAAUUAAUUAUAUGGGUUGAUUCACUGUAAAUAAACUUACUAAAGCUGAAAACACUCUAUCAGCUCAAAUAUAAACAAACAAAAUUUUACAAACUUCACCCUAUUUCAUACUAUUAUUAUAAAAAAUUCUAAAUACCUUUCAAUAUAUCAACUUCUCAUACAAAAUUAAAUGAAAAAUAGGGAUAGUUUAGAAAAUGCAACUAUAUUUUUUUACUGCAUCAAAAAUUCAAAUGCAGUUAACAAUUAUUCUGAAGAACAAUUAGUUACUAUUAAUUAUAUUAUUAAGUCAGUAGUAUCAUAUAAUACCGGUUCUUAUAUGCAAGACCUUUUUAUAAUUGUAAAACCAUUUUGAAUUACAACAUACAUUCAUCAUUACUUGACAUAAAUGUACAAAGUAAAAAGUGGUUAACAUAAUGACUGAAUUUGAAUUGGAGUGUUUUUGUUUCAUUAUUCUUCUGACAGCAGGGGCUAGCACAAGCCUACUCAAGUGUUGAAAUUCAAUCUGAACAUCCAUUUUCUAUAUCAGUAGUGCCUACUACUACUACUACUACCUCAUUCACACAAGUUCCUGCAGAAUCUGUUGAUUACUUUCACUCAGAACAGAGAUUACAACAGUCUUCUUCUGUGAAUGUUGACAAGCCUAACGACGACGGCUACAACUGGAGGAAAUAUGGACAGAAACAGGUUAAAGGUUCUGAGUUUCCUAGAAGUUAUUACAAGUGCACAUAUCCAAGCUGUCCAGUGAGGAAAAAAGUCGAAUGCUCUCUCGAUGGUCAUGUAACUGCAAUUAUUUACAAAGGAGAGCACAAUCAUCAACGCCCUCAUCCAAGCAAGCUCACAAAUGAUAAUUCAAAUGUUCAACAAGUUUCUUUAAGUUCUCACCAAAUGUCGAAGAUAGAUUCAGAUGCAACAGCUGAACAUGUGUUGUUAGGAACAAGUGACACCGAGGAUGAAGGAGAUCGUGAAACUGAAACAGAUGAGAAAAAUUAUGAACCUGAUCUUAAGAGAAGGUAAGGGUUAAGUUCAUUUUUUUUUCUUCAUGUUUGGAUUAAUCAUUUAGUUUUGUGUGAUGAUAUUAGGAGUUUCAUGACUCUGCAGAAACACAGAAGUUAGGCUGCUGGAUCCAGCCCUUUCACAAAGGACAGUCUCAGAGCCUAGAAUCAUUGUACAGACAACAAGUGACGUGGAUCUCUUAGAGGAUGGAUAUAGAUGGCGCAAAUAUGGGCAGAAAGUUGUCAAGGGCAAUCCUUAUCCAAGGUGAUUGAUUACAUUUACUUAAUUAUGUAGGGGUCGAACAAUUUAGUCUGUGAGGUUGUAUCAAUAGUUUAGUUGAGCAACAAAGAUGUACCCCCAAUUUAAGUUAGUCUUUAAAGUUUUUGUUCAAAUAAAAAAUCUUCGAUAACAUUAAUCCAUUCAUAACAACUUUAUUGUCUAAACUCUAAUUUCAAGCACUUGUGGUUCCCUCUAACUUGGCUUCCUAAGAAAUGGUCAACUAUAUUCAUCAUACUUAGAUUGUGCUACUUUGUGUAUAGUGAUGCAUUCUUUAUCAUAUGUAGGAGCUAUUACAAAUGCACAACCCCAGGUUGCAAAGUUCGGAAGCAUGUUGAGAGGGCUUCAACGGAUCGUAAAGCUGUCAUGACAACAUAUGAAGGAAAGCAUAAUCACGACGUACCAGCAGCUAAGACUAAUAGCCAUACCCUUGCCAGCAAUAAUAGUGCCUCACAGCUAAAAUCACAAAAUGCCCUACCCGAGAUGAAUAAUAUCAACAGAAGGGGUCAGCAGCAGCCUUUAGCAGUAGCACGUCUAAGGCUGAAGGAAUAACAUACAACAUAGUUUUCCUAUUUAAAGACUAGAAGCAUAUGUCACAACUCGCAAAUCAUCUCUAAUGUUUAAUGCUUUAUUAGUUUUUAGUUAAAGUUAGGACAAAGCCCUAUAAGUUCAACUCCUUAUACAAAAAGUAGUGUUGGACAUAAAGUGAGUGUAUUGUAUCAUAUUUAUUAAGAAUGAGUUAGAUAAAUUAUAUAUAAAAGAGAUAACUCAUGUUUAAAGAUUUGAAUGAAGAUCUUUUGGGAGUCCAAAGUUAAGUGGUAUAAUAUUUUUUUUUUCUAAAAAAAAGUUGUGCUAUAUAGUUGUUCAUCGUUACAUCAUUUAGUUCCUUCCAAAAUUAUGCUCAAGAAUGUUGGAAAAUAUUUGAUCAUAUAAUGAAUUGCAUUUUAAGCCCUACAUCACAGACAUCACCCAUUUAUUCUUAUCCUAAGAAAACGGAAGUAAUCAGGCUGGUACUAAACUAAAAAAGGAAUAUAUAUUUUCAGUAUUUCUUGAUAACACCAUUGCCACAAAUUGGACAGAUUUACCAGAAGUUUGAGAGUAUAUAUCCUUGCAAUAUUUAUGAGACUAGAUAGUUAUCUAAACACCUUGCUAGAAAUAAACUCCACUCAAACUUAAUAGGCAUCGAAAGUUCAAAGAGACUAUAUAUAAAAUAGUUAUUUUAGAUUUUCAUUUUUUCAUUUUGGUAUCAGAUUUAAUCUAAAUAAUCACAGGAGAGAAUGCAAAGUUUUACAAUAGUUGUUCUCCAAGGACCCCAGUUAUAGCAAUGACAAAAAAGUGGCAAGUUAAAAAAAAUUCCCACUGCACCCCGAAAGUGGGAUGAUACAUAUGCAUUUUUGCUUCCUGCUGUGGUGACAAAAGAAGCAAGGAAGGUCCUCAAUUAGUUUAAUGUUCAACAUAUACUUAGCUGACUCUGGGAGUGAAAGAUGUCUUCUACUAGAUUUGAAAGGCAAAACUCAACACUAUCUGAAGCAACCGCACUUGUGAAGGCUUAACCCAGGGCCAAAAUCUACAACAUAGCAAGAGACCAUGUGUGUAUUGUGAAACUGAAAACAUAAAUUCCCCAGAGCUCAUAAUGCCUCCUUGAGAUGGAAAGUUCUGGCCAUAUUCCUGGCAUGAUCAUAUUCAUUGAGGUCAACAAGUAUUUUCUUUAAUCGACGAGCUAGAUAACUCGUAUCACUCUCCGGUACAUUCCUUCUCUCCAGAACCCUUCCAAGUGACAGCACAUAAACCACCAGAGGCUGCAAUUUGCGACUGCAAUUUAAGAAUAAAGACGGACAUAGGUAGUAUUAGAUUGCUGACCAAAAUUAUAUUAACACACAUGAAGAGGUAAAACUAUCAUUGUACUACAAAUAGUAAGGUCACACAUAGUAUAAGACAUCAGACUUAAGUUAAACAGCAUAACCACAGAAGCAAAUUAUUAGAUUGCGGUUGCCACAAUUUAAACCUACAACCUCUACUCUAAUCACACUAAGCCCUAUGCAGGUAUGCACUUAAUGAGUACCCCAGUUUCCUGUACAUUACCCAUUUGCCCUGAGUUAUUUCUGGGAUGCAAACUGACAGUAACAUGAUUAAGAAGAGUCUCAAGAAUAUGCAAAUGUCUUUUCAAAAGAAACAAACGUAAUCACCAAUUUCACAAAACUUUGACAAGGUACUAUCAACAUACUUUCUGUCCCCAGUGACACUUGGGCCAGCCCAGACGCCAGAUAGGGAAGCAAUAAUCCGUUCUGUUCUUGUUAUUGCAUCGUGAACAUUUUCUGAUAUGCUUCUAAAGUGAGGUAGAACUUUAUCGUACAAAAGCUCAUCUAGAGCAAGCUUCUCUAACACUGGCAUUGCAAAUAUGUCCUUCCACAAGCAAAUAUUUCUCAAUAAUCGAACAGACACACCAAAUCGAUAUGCUGCAACUCGUGCAGCGUCUGGAACAGCAGAUAGUACUAGUGGACUCCACGUAGGGACCUACAAGAUGAGAAGUUUAUCAUCAAAUGCUUCACCAUGUGUAGUUUAUAGUUUCUACAAGCCCUAUAUAUAGUAAAAAAAUCAAAAUGCAAACCAACAGAAAAUGAAUAAAGUAAAUACCAUAUACUUUCUAACUAGUAAAUGUAAAUGCUAAUUGAACAUACCGUAAGAUUAGCAACAGCAUCUGCCAGACGUGUACGAAUCGAAACUAGCAGUUCUGCAAGAGCUUCACUUUCAUGAGACACAUGUUGCACUAUCAACUUUGUAGCAGAAAUAGCAUUCAUUGUUUCUUGUUGACUAAGCAUGUCCCAGCAAUGUGAAAUUUCAUAAUGGAAAAUAGGAAGUGCAACCUUUUCCACCAAAUUUGGGACAAGCUCAAGGUCAGCAUCUCCAUCAUCGUGAACAAAAUCUUUUCCAUCUUCAGGCAAACCGUAAGUGAAUAACAAUUUAUACCUAAAUAUAAAGAGAGAGUAAAUGAAAAACUCUAUAAAAAUUGAAUGAAUGUAAAAGAUAAUCACAUAAAUUGCAUCUAUAUAUGAUCAGGCUUGGAGGUGUAAAGUGUAAUGAAGUGGAAAAGAAAAACAAGCCCGUGACCGAAGAGUUCCUCUAAAUAGUUUCAAGAAAGAAUACUAAAAUAUAGAAUAGGUCAAUACCAUUUCAUCUCUUGAAAAUCUAAACCCUUGUGAAGUGGGUCCCACCUCAGCAGUUCUAAUCUAACAUAUGGAGAGAAGAUCAACGGAAGACUCAAGGAAAUAUAAGCAUCAUUAUAGCUUGAAAAAUACUCUCUUUUCCAUUCUUCCAUUUUAUUUUUGACCAGGGAUAAUUGACUAUAUUCCUCAGAAGCAUCGCUGAAAAUUUCAUCAGCAGCCUGCAGCACCAAAUCACGUUGUGACUGAUAUGCUUGGCUCUCACUAUCACUCUCAUCAGUGCUCGAUUCACCUUCUACUUUAUGAUCAUCUACUUCCAUGGAUGCUAGCUUAUUAGAAUCAAAAGCUUUAGACUUCCGGCGUUGACGAGCCUCGGCCAUCACUUUCAUUUUCAUCCGUUUCUCAAGGUUUAAAUCUCUACCAAAUUCAUCUAACUGUACUGGAAAGUCUCUUUGUUUUCUCACAGCAGAAAAUGCAUCCUGAGCUGCACUUCUGGCAGCCUCAAGGUUGUCACCUUUCCUGCUUAAAACUGACAUUGCAGCUUUCACAGCUGCUUCUACCUCAACCAUUUCAUCGUCAAUGUUAGUGGCUCUUUUUUCGAAAAUGGCUGAUGCUCGAUCUUCGUGAAGUUUCUUCAUCUGAUCUUCAAGUUCUUCAAUGUAGAAAGCUUUAUGCUGAAAGUAAAAGUCACACAUAACCUUUAGUUAUAACCUCAAUAAAUGAUACCCCGCAAAAUCAUUAGCAAAAAUGACAAGCAGUUAAAUGAUUUUUAAGUUUAAGAUAUCCAGCAGUUAGAAAAUACAUAUGCAACUUUAUUAGAAGCCAUUUUACUUAAAAUCACCAUUUUACUGGUGGCAUAGGAUAAUAGGCCUUGGAUAUUCUAGAAGGAGAAAGGGAGAAUUAUAAAAAGGAGGGAGGCAUAACCGAAAAGGGAAGAAAAUUAAAAAGUGGUUUGGGUGGUUUUGUGCUGAGUAGAGAAGUUGGUUCUCUCUCCAACUUAGGUUUAUCUUUUAUGUUUUUGUUCAUCAUCUUGUAAGGAGCAUAACUCCAACCAUUUAAUUCUCUAGUUCAAUUUAGUUUCUAUUUUCAAGUUCGCAGUUAAAUACAUAAAUAUUUUCAUCUAUCUGUUUCGGUUCCUACUUCCUACCAAACUGCCCCCAUCAUCAAUACAUAUUUCACACAUGCCCACCUGCCUAUCUUAAAUUCUUGUUUUCAGUCUCGGGACAAAAGAAAAUUUACUAGAGAAGAAAGAAGUACAUAAAAAGACAAGCACACGUUAACAGAAAAUAGAUCAAAGGACUAUAGCCAAAGAAACAUUAUAGGCAGCAUAUCUCCAAGAACCACUUCCACCACCAUAAGUCAACAUAGCUAACUCAGUGUCUGAUCAGUAAAACAUAGAGGGAUGUAGAGAAGAACAAAAAGAAGCAAAACCAGUAAUAUUAUGAGGGGAAAAACAAACUUAAAAAAAUAAUAUUGUACAGCUCAAUCUCACUUUUAUAUAAUUAAGAAGAAAGAUAAGGAACUUGAAGAAUGCAAGAAAUAUGGUUACCUGUAAAAAGUCACAUAUAUUUGUGACAUAAUUUCGGAGCUUUUGCAUAAAUCUAUACUUCUCAUCAGCUACCACUAAAGAGUUUUCAAGAUCGGUAAUGUUCAAAAGGGAGGCGGACAAAUUUUCAUCUGUUUUGUUCAAUGAUGACAUUGUUCUUCCAUGUGAUUCCUGUAAAAUGUAAAUGAGAAACAUAUCAAUCCCCAAGAAGAGAAAUUUGUAUACAUUUCAUGCCAAAGCAAGUCCCAUUUCCAAGGCAAUUAUCAUAUGGUUGUCUUGUGUGAAAAUGCAAUAAUCUAUCAUAUACAACAUACAUGUUUGCAAAAUAUUCCACUUGACCCAUUUAAGUGCAACAUAAUUUAAUGUACCAGUUAUGCCUAUAUUACUGGUCCCAUCCCUCCACAACUGUGGCCAUCCUUUUCUUUCAACUCUCAUAUUUUACAACCCUAUGAAACACGAAUUGGAAGUAUGAGGGCAUUCUUCCAUCAUAUGUAAUCAAGGUAAUAAAUUGUAGACCACGUCACUUGAUACAACCUCAACGUCUAGGUUGCAAUGGUCACCACAAUCGCAUCUUCCCUUGAUUGCAAACCACACUGACAGUUGGCCCCAACUAACCCAUAACAGCCACAGUGCAAACAUGACUGCAACAGUAACUUAAAACUCUAGAUCUAAUUAUCAACAGGUUUCACCUAAUCAAUUGCCAGAAGCCCCUCAACCUCAACUAGACAACUUUGAUCCUUUGUGACCAAGAAAAACACAUGACAAUUGUUUUGAUGCCAAAGUUACUCAUAUGAUACACUUAAUGCCUCUCUAACUUUUAACUUAAUUUAUUUUAAUCAAUAACAGUGAUGAUCACCAAAAAAAUAAAAUGAUAAUAAAAGUGGAGUCAUCAUGUGCACAGGAUAAGAACAACCACUAAUCUGACAAGUAACAAACAGCUCAGCCUGAUACACAAUCAGUAUGGCCCUAUGAUAUAAGCAAAUUGUUCAUACCUUAAGCCUCCUAACAUUGUCUAGCAAAGCUUUUCUCGCAAUCUCGGCUUGUUGAGAUAUAGAGAUGACAUCCAAAGCCGGUGUAGCUGGGAUUGCUCCUCCAAUGCUGGUACUCACCGAUGCUGCUGCUGCUACUACAUUUGGAACUGCACCAUAUACAGUUGCAGCAGAGGGAACAACAAACUUGGGCUGUUGUGCAACUUGCACAACAGAAACAUCACCACCACUCACCCUACCAGGCCCUUCAUCCAUUCUCUUCCCCAAUCCUUUCCUAAACUGCUCUUCUUCCCACAUCUUCUCCUCCUCAUCCUCCUCCUCCACCACAACAUCCCCUCCUCCAUUGAACCUCCCAUCCACUCCCCUCUCAUCCACAUCCUCAAAAACACCCUUCUUCCCUCCUUCCCCCUUCUCCCCAAACAACGCAAUCCGCCCCCUAAACUCCGGUUCCUCAUCACUCAACCCCUCCGCAGCGCCAUGAUUGCUUCCACCAUCCAAUGAGAUAUAAUCCUGCGCAGCGGGACGCGCCUGCCGGAGGCGCUCCCGCCUUGCCCGAAUAGCUUUGAUGGUCUCUUCAUCAGGGAUAAGAGAAUCAUUCCCGUUUUGAAUGCCAACAGACGCGAAUUUAGCCUCAACUUCUUUAUGUUCGUCUUCGGAAUCCGAUUCCCGACCCUGUGGUUCGGAACUCGCUGGUUUAAGGAGACCCUUUAAGACGAUGACAGGUUCGGAUGAGGGNNNNNNNNNNNNNNNNNNNNNNNNNNNNNNNNNNNNNNNNNNNNNNNNNNNNNNNNNNNNNNNNNNNNNNNNNNNNNNNNNNNNNNNNNNNNNNNNNNNNNNNNNNNNNNNNNNNNNNNNNNNNNNNNNNNNNNNNNNNNNNNNNNNNNNNNNNNNNNNNNNNNNNNNNNNNNNNNNNNNNNNNNNNNNNNNNNNNNNNNNNNNNNNNNNNNNNNNNNNNNNNNNNNNNNNNNNNNNNNNNNNNNNNNNNNNNNNNNNNNNNNNNNNNNNNNNNNNNNNNNNNNNNNNNNNNNNNNNNNNNNNNNNNNNNNNNNNNNNNNNNNNNNNNNNNNNNNNNNNNNNNNNNNNNNNNNNNNNNNNNNNNNNNNNNNNNNNNNNNNNNNNNNNNNNNNNNNNNNNNNNNNNNNNNNNNNNNNNNNNNNNNNNNNNNNNNNNNNNNNNNNNNNNNNNNNNNNNNNNNNNNNNNNNNNNNNNNNNNNNNNNNNNNNNNNNNNNNNNNNNNNNNNNNNNNNNNNNNNNNNNNNNNNNNNNNNNNNNNNNNNNNNNNNNNNNNNNNNNNNNNNNUCGGAAGAAGUGGAAGAAGGACGAGAGGUGCUUCCAGUAACUAGGGUUCGGGUAUUCUUCUGAAGCUCGCGAAGUGCUUCUUUGGUGUAGGUUCCGGCUUGGGGCUGAACGUUGGAGAGGAACGAAGGAGAAGGGGAAUGUGAGAUUCGGUCUUUGUGAGUGGUUAUUUUGUGAGAGGAGGAAGACGAUUUGGAGACGCCGGAGCGGUGAGGCUUGGAGGAGCGUGGACGGGGGUUUUCGUUUUCGUUGUCGUUUUCAUCGUCAGCGAAGCUGAGAAGUUUUGGGGCUUGGGGUUUUUUAGGCUUUGGGGCGGAGGAAGAAGGUUUGGAGGGGAGGCUGGGAGUGGAGGAGGUGUCAGCGUGGUCGUCUUCGUUUGUGUCGUUGCGGCGGCGGAAAUUGCGGGAUUUGGCGGUGGACAUGGUGGUGGCGGUAGAAGUAUAGAGUGCGGUGCUAUCGGUUUGAAGGGGACAGAGUGCGAGGGUACGGUUUCGAUUCGGGGCCAACUCAGCAUAGUCAUCACGUACUAUAUCUUUUUAUUUAUUUAUUUAUUUUUAAAAUAUAAACACAAACUUGGUGAAUUUUUUGGGAAUAUCUGUUUAUUUUAAAUCAAAUAACAUUUGCAACUUGCUGCAUGAUUGAUUUCGGUUUGUAAGUUAAAAGCUAAUUCUUGAUAUUGACAUGUUUAGAAAUUGUCUAUAAAAAAUUUAAGAAUAAAAUAAUAUGCUUUUAAAUUUAAAAGUUAAAAUUUAUAAUUUUUAAAUUCAAAUUUAUUGAAAUUAUAUUUAUCUAAACAUAAAUAAAUUUAUAUUUCGUUUAUUUUAAACUAAAAUCAAUUCGCUAAAAUUGAAUUUAUAUUUAUACUUAAUAUAACAUUAAUUAUACGAAGUUAAUCCUAAUAAUCUUGCCGCUGGAUUUGGUCGUCUUUAAACGGAAGUUAAACUAGAAGAGUAGAUUAAUUAAAGGUAAGAAAGAGAGAGAGAGAGAGAAACAUUCCUUGGUAUGGGAGUGGGGAAUGGUGGUUGUUGGAUUAGAGUUAAAGAAUUAAGUAAAAGUAGAAGCAAACAAGCAUCGGAUGCAGUAGUCUGUUGCACAUGAUUUGCCAAUUGAAAAAAGGUAAACAUAGAUAGAUAAGAGAGAAAGCACUCUACUAAACAAAGGGUGUGUCAUAAUUAAAUAGAUGAAACAAUUAUAGCUUAUAGUCACGGAAAAAGAAACUUCUACCCAACCCAUGCUCACACACACUCACAGAUCCCUCACCCAAGUAGCUUUGCACCCAAGUAGCUUUGCACCCAAGUAGCUUUGCACCCAAAAAUCAAAAUCCACAACCAGACAAAGAUUUUCUCCCUUCAUCACACUCCACACCCACCACCACUCCUUCAACCCCAUCUCAUCUAACUUCAACCUACUUCUCAUUACAACCUAAAAAUCUCUGCUUUUUCAUACCCCUCAAAACAAAUGAAAAUAUUGGGGCAAAGGAAAGAAACAAAAAGUAACAUUCCUCUUUAGUUCUUCUCUCUAUUCUCCGCAUUGUGCUUUUUAUACUGUUCAUUCAAAAUCAAAAACUAUGAGGAAGCAUGGAUGGCAACUACCUUACCAUCCUCUUCAGGUAUCUGUAAAUUUUUCAGUUUUUUUUUUUUUUUGCAGAAAUUCUUUUUGGGGUUUACUAAUUUUGAAAUUUUUAUGCGAAGGUGGUGGCUAUUUCUGUGUUUUUAGCGUUGGGGUUUGCUUUCUACGUGUUCUUCGCUCCUUUUGUUGGAAACAAGAUGUAUCAGUAUAUUGUCAUUGCCCUUUACACACCGCUGGUAUGAGAUCUGUCGUUCCUUUUCUUUGCUUUCUGCUAAUGCUUCAUGUCUUUGAUUUCUUAUUCUUUUGGAGUGUCAUUUACCUGCAAUCUUCUAUAUAUAAUAAUAACUACAUGGGUACUACAUUUUGUUAGCACUUCAGGCACAUUAUAUCCUAAAGUCAAGGUAGCACUAAAUCAUACUUACCUUGGUUGGCUAACAAUGGAUCUUGAUUUAUUUAUAGAGUAAACUCAACCAUGUGUCAAACUGAGACACCUUAGUGGAACAAGGUUAAUAUUUUAUUAUGUUUGGAUGGAGGGGUUUGGAGGGAAAGGGAUGGGAGGGUAAUUUUUGUUUUUCAAAUAAAUAAUUUUUAAUUAACAUUUAUUUUAGAGUGAAAGGAAUAAAAUAAUAGCUUAGCAUAAAUUUAAUAUCUCUCAAUCCCUUGUUUAUUUUUAUAAAUAUUAUAUUCGACUCAAUUUAAAAGACAAAAUUUUUACCUUCCUUCCCUUUCAUUCCCCAAUCUUUGCUCGAAUGCUUAGGUCACAGAUUAAGAUUCUUCCCCCUUCCCGAAUAGUGUGUUUAACUGAAAACUGAACCAUAGUCCUCCCCCACAAGCCACAUAAAACAAUGCUCCUUUUAGUGGGGAUAGUUGAACUUAUGACCUCCUUGUCACUCCUUAGUGGAUCACAAAUUUGAGCUAUAUUGUACUGAAAUCUAGGACAAUAGAAGGUGCAAGAAAAUGAUUGAGAAAUGAAUUAUGUAAUAUGUAUUAGGCACUAUAAGGAACGUGUUAGGAAACGACCCAUUAUUAAGAUCUAUACUAGGACAGAGCACAGAGAGGCAAUCAAGGGUAUUGAAUGAUUAAGGGAAAUAAGUUAUCCUCUCUUCUUUCCCCCAAAAUUCUCCAUCCAAAGUCCAAACAUACCCUACAGGGAAUUUGACGGCAUAAUUAUAAUACCUGCUUGGUGCUAAAGAGCCAACAAGAAAAUAAACUCAAUUUUCCACAAAUGAGAAUGAGAAUUUAUGGUGGAUGAGUGGACACAGAAGAAGUACUCAAGCAGUCAAGCAUAAGGACAGACUUCAUUGCACAGGUGGGUGACCUGUGAUGAUGAUGUAUGAAAUUGAAUGCUAGGGGGCAAAAAACCAGUCCGAAGGUAAGUUUAAUGUUGAGGGAUUGAUACGAUGGAUAAGUAGACACAUGAGUGGAUUAGGAUUUAGGAAUGAAUACAUUAGAGAGAAGGUUGGGGUAUUACCUAUUGUGGAGAAGAUGUAAAAUCUUGCUUUAAAUGGCUUGGGCAUGUAUGAGAAGACUUAUAAAAACCUAUGCAGCAGCGACACUUCAAGUUGAAGGCGCGUUGCAUGUGUUAGUGUCUGAAACUUCUAUGACACCUGCAUAUCUAACAACAUUCAAUCACUUUCAUUUUCUUUAAUUAUUGUGUGUACAUGUCAAUGUAGUCUAUACUGAUAUGCACUAUCCAUCCUCUAAUGUUUCUUCCUUCUUAUGGUUAUUUUGGCUUCCCCUGCUAUAUAUGACUCUACUAGGGUUGCCAUUUCCUGACAUCAUUGUAAUGUAUCUAAAUGUGUUUGCAACAGAAUUAUUAGACAAGGAUAACUUUGUUUCAAUAACAGCGCCUUUUUUUAUAAAUAAAAAAUUCAAGAAGGGCAUUAUCAUCUGUUAGUAAUAUCUCACCUCUUGCCAGAUUACUGUUGUUUUUGGGCUCUACAUUUGGUGUGCUGCAGCUGAUCCAUCAGAUCCUGGGGUUUUUAAGUCCAAAAAGUAUCUUAAAAUUCCAGACAAUAAAAAGGUUGUUGGGCAUAAGAGUUCUAAAUUAGGUGAAGAGUCAACUCCGUCAAUGCAUGAUGCAAACGAUUCAACGGUUGGAGGAAAUUCCAUGGAUAAUGAAACAUUUGGAACAGAAGGAAAUAUGAAAAAUGCUUCAAAUUCAGUAGAGAAAGCAAAUGCAUCAUCUUCUUGUUUAUCUUGUUUCCUCUUGGUUUGCUCUCCUUGUGCUUAUAUCUGCCGCUGCUCUGGUUCAAGUGAGGAAUCUUCUGAUAAGCAAACAAGUGAAGAUGGCAUGUUCUAUUGCAGUUUGUGUGAAGUUGAGGUGCGUUGAAGCUUUUUAACUAGAAACCUUUUUUCCUCUGUUAGAGUCCACUCCGAAAUGACAUGUGGAUGUGAAAAGAUGAUGUUACCUCAAUAGUAGUGCAUGCAGAAUUUGAUGAUCACCUUGUGUCAUAUUCAUACUUGCUCUAAAAAUGAUUAGAUGCUAAAAGUUUAAAUCAUUGAAGAAUAAUAUUGUUGCAGGUCUUCAAAUACAGCAAGCACUGUAGAGUCUGCGACAAGUGUGUAAAUCACUUUGAUCAUCAUUGCCGAGUAAGUUUAUCUGAUAUUUUGAUUUCUUUACUUAUUGUUUGACAUAUGUUCUGAACGACUGUUGUUUCCCGAGUUUUGCAGUGGCUCAACAACUGUAUAGGGAAAAAGAACUAUAGGCAAUUUUUCACCCUGAUGAUUGCUGCUAUGCUCUUGGUAAGCACUGACUAAUCAUUCACAUGGCAAUACCUACCCUUAUUACUUUUUAAUUUAUAAGCUCUGCAGCUAUGUUAGGAAUAAUACCCAACCAAUAAAUAUGAAUCUUCUGCUCCAGAUCACCAACAUUUGGAAAUAUUAAUUUUCCCAAAAAUGUUUUUUUUAAUCCUUUCUUAUUAUGAUACUUAAGGUCCCAUUUUCUUUCUCUAUGUUUUCAUUGUUAAAAUAAGUAAUUACAGUAGAAAUGUGUAUGUAUAGCUGUUCAUAUUGUGGAUUUCAGAAAACAAAAUUAGAAAAAAGUUGUUUUCACCAUUUUCAAGUUAGUUUCAUUUCGAUUAACUAUUGACAGGUCUGUACAUGUUUUGUGAACCUUGGUCUUUGGGAUUGCAGUUUAUUCUUCAAUGGUCAACUGGGAUACUUGUGCUCAUCCGCUGUUUCGUUGAGAGGAAGCAAUUUUCUAUGGAAAUCUCCUCUAAGUUGGGAAGCAGUUUCUCUCUGGCUCCCUUUGUUAUUGUUGUGGUGAGUAUUCUCCCCCCCCCCCCCCCCCCCCGUUAUUGCUUCCAUUUUCUCNNNNNNNNNNNNNNNNNNNNNNNNNNNNNNNNNNNNNNNNNNNNNNNNNNNNNNNNNNNNNNNNNNNNNNNNNNNNNNNNNNNNNNNNNNNNNNNNNNNNNNNNNNNNNNNNNNNNNNNNNNNNNNNNNNNNNNNNNNNNNNNNNNNNNNNNNNNNNNNNNNNNNNNNNNNNNNNNNNNNNNNNNNNNNNNNNNNNNNNNNNNNNNNNNNNNNNNNNNNNNNNNNNNNNNNNNNNNNNNNNNNNNNNNNNNNNNNNNNNNNNNNNNNNNNNNNNNNNNNNNNNNNNNNNNNNNNNNNNNNNNNNNNNNNNNNNNNNNNNNNNNNNNNNNNNNNNNNNNNNNNNNNNNNNNNNNNNNNNNNNNNNNNNNNNNNNNNNNNNNNNNNNNNNNNNNNNNNNNNNNNNNNNNNNNNNNNNNNNNNNNNNNNNNNNNNNNNNNNNNNNNNNNNNNNNNNNNNNNNNNNNNNNNNNNNNNNNNNNNNNNNNNNNNNNNNNNNNNNNNNNNNNNNNNNNNNNNNNNNNNNNNNNNNNNNNNNNNNNNNNNNCUGAUCACUAUACUGUUAUAAUUGUUAUUUAUUUAUUCAUCAUACAUAUGAAUUUAACCUUGCUGUUUUUAUUUGAUGAAAAUCAUUGAGGCUAUUUCCAGUUAUAGUUAUUCUUACACGUGAUCAACUUCAUUUCUGUUCCUUUUUACUUUUCAGUCUGCUUGUACAAUUCUGGCUAUGAUUGCUACCUUGCCUGUUGUUCAGCUUUUCUUCUUUCAUAUCCUCCUCAUUAAAAAGGUAAAUUGGCAGUUAUUUGGUACGUUGAUGAUCUGGUUAAUUGUUAAUACUUUCUUCAUUUGUAAUGCAUAUUAUACAUUACAUUAUUCAUAUAUGUGGUUGCUUCUUUUCAACUUCAAGUGGUGAUGAUCUGGUUAACUCUGCAUUUCAUUUGUAAUGCAUUUUAUUAUACUGUUCAUGUAUGGAGUAGCUUUUUUUCAACUUCAAGCGCCUCUCUCUCUCUCUCUCAUAUGGAAAAACCAAAAGGGAUGUGCAAAAUGGGGGCUAGUUGGAGUGGUUUAGUCUAUUCUACAGAACAUAUUUUAGACAAGAUUUAGUCAAAUCUCUUUCACUCCUAGUGCUUAAUAUUUCGGUUUUUGCGAGUGACUCAGGGACUCAGCACAUAUGAUUACAUUGUAGCUUUGAGGGAGCUGGAGCAAGAGCAGGAGCAGCUAGGAAAUGGAGGCCAGCAAAGUCCCCAAAUGUCAACUGUUAGCUCAUUUACUGGGUUGAGCAGUGCAAGCUCCUUCAAUGCUUUACAUCGUGGUGCUGGUGCCUGGUGCACACCCCCGCGCAUGUUUAUUGAGGAUCAGGUGACAUGCUUUUUUGUAUUAUGGGGUUUAUUUUCUUCGUAAAAUGCCUUUAGUUAGAUGACUUUCCCGCAAAAACACUGCUUCACAUGGAUAGUUGUCAUGCAAACUUGAGCAUUUGCAUGCACAUAGAUUUGUUUGUUAUUGAGAUUUGCAGAGGAAUUCAAUAUUUGAUUGAUAAACAUAUUGAGAAUAGUAUUGUGUAUCAACCUUGGAAGUUUUUUGUACCUUUCUAGGAUGGUUUGUGACUUUCAUAUUAUGCAAGAAAUAUCCUUUCACCUAAAACUAAAUUUAUCAACUAUUAAGUCUUUUCAUUUGACAUAUCCUGUUAUAGUUUGAUGUAGUGCCCCCAGAAACAAGUUCUGUGAGUUCACUGGGAAAGAAGUCAAUGAGAGAAGAGCCAUUAAAGAAAAAGAAUCCUGGAGCAGUCAAAAUUAGUCCUUGGACAUUGGCGCGAUUAAAUGCAGAAGAUGUUGCUAAGGCUGCCGCUGAAGCAAAGAAAAAGUCCAAAAUUCUGCUGCCUGUGAUAAGACAUGAUCAGUCUUCCAGGCUAGAACCAGACAGCAGUUUUGGCAGCAGUGGCCAAAGAAUGGUUCCUGCGAAUGAAAACAAUAAAAAGCAGGAUAAUAAACGCAUUUACCUUCCUGCCGACUUAUCUAUGGAAUCCAUGAUGAAAGUUUCUGCCAAUAAUACUGAUAGGGGCUUCAAUGGAAGGUCUGGGUUUGCCCCACUUCAGUAUGAAGCACGUAGUGCAUUUAAAACAAGCCAAGCAAUGCCAAGCUCAGCUGGAAUUGUUCUGUCGUCUCCUGAGAGCAGUUUAGACUCUCCUGAUAUUCAUCCUUUUCGGGCUUCGGGAGCUGAGGAAGCAAGGCAUCUUGCAGGUCUUUCAGCUGCUGAUGCUGCAGCUCUGAAGGAAAAUCCACUGUCGAGGUCAACAAGUGAUGGGUAUGAGGCCUCCGGUGGGGAAGACAGUGACCAGGUUCCUAGUAGGAUUGUUCAGAGAUCUGCAGAUCGGAGUAAUUUUCUUUUCAGAGCUGAUCAGGAUGAGAGAUCUUUCAGGCCUACAUUGUCAUCCAGCAAGAGUCACAGUAGACACUAGAAAGUUCUGACCACCAACUUAGGUGUCAAUUCGAUAACUAUCUUUUGCUGACUCUUUAGAUGGGAAUUGUUCAUUUUUUGAUUUGUGAGCUGGAGGUACUUGAGCAUCCAGUGGCCAUCAUCCUCUUUUGAUGCUGUUAAACGACGAUGCUCCUGAGUUUUGGAGGAUCAAGUGGUAACCGAUGUACAGAGUUUUGUCACUAUUAACUGAUAUGGUUGAGCUUCCUGUUACAUUGCCAUUGUUACUUCUGAGUUGUCCUUGCUUGCUAAUUUGUUAAGCUUUCUAUCCAGUUAUGGUACCUUAUGUUUAGGCAGAAUGGCUUGUUUGUUGUUACUUGCAUUUAAGAGAACUAGAAAUGGCUAUUUUAGGAAGAAUGUUUUUUCCUUUUCUUCAUCCCCACCCCAAAUUAUGUUACUAUACUAAUUAUAUCUCCAUCUUUUAUUUCUAUUAGAAUUAGAAUUAAGAUGUCUGUAUUGAGCCAGAGAUAGUUGGCAAAUUUAACAGCUUUUUAACGUCUUUUACUAGUUAGAGCAUCUACAACGGGAGUGAAAAUGAGUUCGUCUGCCAGUGUGUAAUUACUUAACUUCCAGUUUUUUGUGGGUUCACCGUUGGAGUUGUGCCAAGGUGUCAUCACGGUACUGUCAGGAAGGAACGGUGCUUCAUAGCAGUUACCUCUUUUUUUGUGUUUUUUAUAUCUAUUUUCACAAUUUAAUAAUAAUAUAAUUAUAACCGCCGUCUUUUAUUAAUUUAUUAAUAAUAAUAAAUUUAUCAUUUUUUAUUAAUUUAUAGCCGUUAACUUCUUUUUAAUUUAUUAAAUAAUAAUAAUUUUGUAACCAUUAGCUUUUUUUAGUUAAUAUACCACCGUUAGCCUUUUUUUUCUCCUUUAAUUACGAUUGUUAGCUCAUUAAUAGAAACAAUUUGUUACUCAUAAUUUUUCUUCACAAUUUUUGUUAACGUACUUUUUUUAUUUAUUUUUUCAUUUAAAUUAAUAUUUUAAGUUAUAAUAAAAUUAAAUAUUAAUGUAUAAAUUAAAAUAAUGGAAUAUAAUAUGAUUUUUUAAAAGUUAAACCGUAAAAAAUAAAUGAGUUGAUUUAAGGUGAUGUAGUAUAAGAGAACUUGAAUCAUGUUGAGUUCACCGUUGCAGUAGAAAAUGAGUGAAUUGCUUUAAGAUGACGUGGCACAGUGGACCCCAUCUAAAGAACCCAUAUUGAGUUCACCGUUGUAGAUGCUCUUAGCUUUAUUAAAUUCACUUCUUUAAUUACUUGUGCCUAGGUUUGUGAUGAGUUUGUUGUGAGCAAACACAGGUGAAAGAUUUCUAAAAAACUCGGCCAAAUUUUGCAAGUUUGAUGUAUGCUUUUGGGUAAUUUGUGGCGUUCGAAUAUUUUUUGCCAGUAGAAUAUGUGCAUCAAACCUUUGAUUCCUCUCAUUGUGCUUUGAAAUGCCAAUUUAAGAUGCAUACAAUACAACUUCCAAAACAAAAUACCAAGUGAGUUUCUAAAAUUGAGCCGGGUUAUUUAAUUGAACUAAUAUCUGACAUAAAUUAAAGUUCCAUAAGCAAAUAAAUGUUGUCUGAAAUUAAGUGGUGGAUUGGGAUCAUUUCCUUUAAAAUAGUCUUCAUGUGAUCUAUGUCUCUCUUAAUUUCUCCUUCAUUUUUCUUUUAGAUUCCUAUGUACUAAUUUCCAUAAAGUGUGCUUGAGAGGAAGGAGAUGAUCUACUUUCCAAUUUAAAACAUUUUUGAAUGAAAGGAGAUUAAAGUUAAGUGAGAGAUAGAGUGUGAUGGAGAGAAAUUGAAGGAGAGUAUCCAAAUCUUGUCUAAUGACUCAAACUUCAUACACAUUAUUCUCUAUUGCAAUUCAUGCUCUUUCCUAUGAACAAUAAUGAAUGUCUAGACAAUGUAAAAAAUGACCUAAUUAUUGAAAAUAACAUGAUAAAUGAUAACCAUUGAAAUUGAAUGCUAUGGUUAAUUUUAUUGCAAUAUGUGCUGAGCAGCGAUUUUAUUUUCCUAAAGUUAAAAGGCACAGGCGAAUUAAUUUCACAAAACAUGCUGCUUCAUAAUGAAUAACAAUAAUAACCACAAAAUUUUGCACGAUCUAACACUAACAUGUUACUUUUUCAUCCAUCACAUCAUCAUUUAUACAAAAUUUGGGAAAUAGUGAGUACAGAUAUAUAUAUAUAUAUAUGUGUGUAUGUUACAUUACAGCCACUCACACAUGAACGACAGACACAACAUGAGGGACUUUGCUAUCAUCAAAAGGCAAGCUCACAUACUGCCACGCAAACUCCUCCGCAAUCUCCGAUGCCAGCUCACCAUGAACCGCCUUACAGUACAUAUACAGCACGGUGUUUGCAGCGACGUUGUAAAGCAUCAAGAUCGUGAGCACGGUGGAAGUCAACACAAUCUGAACCACAAAAGCCCAAUCCCUCCACGAACCUCUAUCAGAAGAAGCCACUUCAGCAAGAAGGGAACCGCUCCACAGCAUAAUUCCUUCCAAAGAAGCGAAAAACAACAAGCAAGAGACGCCGACUGAUUUCAUUCCCUUCAUCAGAGCGGCGCUCCGGCGGAGAGGUUGAAAGCCCCAGGUUCGUUCGACGACGGCGAUGACGGAGGCAAGGGUCCAUGAAAUACGGAGGUAGAAGAGGACGAAGAUGAGUGGGAGGAAGAGGGCGUAGGCAGUGAGGGUGAGGGUGAUUGAAGAGAAAGAGAAGGAGGGGGUUAGGAGGAAGAGGGGGAUUGGGAGAGAAAGGGAGAAGAGGAUGAGGUGGGAGAGGAUGAAGGUGGUGAGGAGAGGGAGGAAGGAGGAGAGGAGGGAGGUGAAGGCGGAGAUGAGUUUAACGGGACGACCGAAGAAGCCGUGGAAGAUGCUGUGGGUGAUGGUGGCGAGGGCGGAGAGGGAGAAGAUUAAGAGGAAGAGGGAUAGUAAGAGGAGUGGGAAGGGAAAGGGGGAAUUGAGAAAAGUGGUUUGAGCUUGGACUUGGGCUUGGGCUUGUGUGUGGGCUAGGCGAAGAAGGAUGUGGAUGGUGGAUGAAUUAGAAGGGGUGAGGAGGUGGAUGAUAGUGGGGGAGACGAUAAGGGAGAAGGAGAGGGGAAGAAGGAAGAAAACGGAGAGAGCGAGGAAGUGACGGGAGUGGGCGUUGAUUAUUCGCUUCGAUUCAGAUAGGAUUGACCACAAGUUGAGGUUU